rnacentral:lncRNA from 1 species
GGACCUUCAUGGGUAUGCAGAUUGAUCCGGGAGAAAGUACAUUGACACAAAGUUUCAAGAUGAAUCAAUGAGUUCUCUACACAUUCAAAACAAGACACAUUCAAAUCAAUGAGUUUUCUGCGUAUCAAUUACUGGAUAACAGAAUUUCCAAAACUCCAGACUUAUAUUUCAACUCUGGACUGGCACCUACUCAGCCAUAAUGGUAUAAGAGCUGCCAAUGAAGCAUCAAAGUGAUGCUGACAACCUAGUUGUAAUGGACAGCAAACAAGCCAACAAUUUCCCAAUAUUGGUGAUCAACUACAAUCCAUCUCAAGUAAAGUCAAAAGCUCAACCAAUAUGCUAAACCAACAACAAAUCCAUAAUUCUCUCACCUUCUUGGUGUUCAUUUUAAUUACUUUGAUGGAGUAGAACACUACUUCUAUUUUCUUUCACUUUCCACCCUUUGCUCAGCAACCAAAAAGAAAACUAAAAAGAAAAGAAAAGAAAAGAAAAACUACAUGGAUUCCUCGAAUUGUUUCAACGCCUCUUUCUUCUUCAAUUCCUUUUCAUACUCUCUCAAUCUCUCCUUCAUCUUUUCCUGUUACAAAACAUACAAAAACAAGCUAACCCCAUGUUACUAAAAUCAUAACUUUUUCACUUUAACAACUUUGAAUUCCAAACAGUUCCAUCUUUCUCAGUAAACAAACAGAAGCUCAAAAGAUAGAAAAAGAAGUUUUAACCUUGUAGCUGACUUCCACCCGGUGCAUAACAUAGAACCCAAGAACCCCACCAAGAAUUGUGCCAGUUAUGAUCCUUACAUAACCCCAUUUCUGUGAAUUCAACGCCAUUUUCUUUUCUCUUGCUUUCUAUGUAACCAAACACAGGUCUUCUUGGUCACUGCUUUUGUAUUCUCUUUGCGAUAAAAGCGCACCGUUUAGGAAAGGAGAUGUCAGAGGCUAUCGAUGUGGAGCAGACGUGGUGGGGGUGGGGGUGGGGGUGACGGUGCUGAUUUAUUUGGCGGUGGUCCGGUGGUGGCAGAAGCGGUGGUCUUAGUGGAUGAUCUCUGUUUAUAGAUUAGAUAGAUUAGAAAAGGUUGGUAGGCCUAGCAUAGAAUGCGCUCAUAGCCCUUUACAACCAAUAUGGGCCUAUAAGAGGUCCAAAGUGAAUAAAUUAUUUAGGAUAUAGAGGUGGAAAUGAUGUUCUCCAAUUCAAUGGAUCUCCUGGAUUUACUUUAUAUAUAUAUAUAUAAGGUUUUUUUUCUAAGAUUAUAUUUAUUUAUUAAAUAUAAAUUAUUUUAUUUUUGUAUGGCCUAUGUAUAUAUUUAAUGAAAAUUGAUCUUGAAGAAAAAAAAAAGUAAACUUCUAAUUGAGAUUCAUGAAAAUUGGUUUUCUUAUAAGUGUAGACUAGUAUAAAGUUUAUAAGAGAGUUUUUGUUUUUAUAAUUUAAAUUAUUUUUUAAAGUGUUUUUCAAAUUAUUUUUUUAUCUAAAAAAACAUUAAAUUAAUGUUUUUAUAUGUUUUUUUAUUGUCAUGAUGUCAAAACAAAAACAUGAAAAAACAUCAUUUAAAAGCAUUUUUAAUUUAAAAUCACUAUUAUAAAAUAUUUUGAACUGCAUUACUAAGCAUAUACUAAAAUCUUCAUAAAUAAGGAGGUGGAAGAUGUAUCCUUUAUUUUUAUAUUCAUAAAUAAAUAAAUAGAGAAAAAAAUACUCAUUUGUUCAAACAAUUAGUUAAACAACCUAUGACAAUCAUAAUCUAAUAAAAGUUAUAAUUACCUAGUUAAACAAGGAUUUUAUUUAAUUGGUCUAACACAUAAAAAAAUUAUCAAGGAUUCCUCCUUGCACUAGGAUUUUAAUUAAUAUAAAAGAUGAAAAACAUUAGUAAAAAACUAAAAGGCAUCAAGAUUUUGCAUGGUGCAUAUGUGCUAUGCAAAUGCUUUGAUUCAAUAUGGAAUUCAAUAAUUCUUUUUUUUUUUUUUUAGUUAUCGAUCUUCCAAUCUUAGUUCCAUUUUCCCCUAACAAGAAAGCUUUUUAAGGUCAAUUGGUAACCAAUUGCAUAUAAUUUAUUAACAAAGAGCAAUAUUAAAACAUGGGGGAUCAAAGUGAAAACAAUGAUGAACAUGGGUGGCAGUUUCAUCAUUAGUAUACAAACUUAUCUUUGGUUCUUCAUACUUUUCAAAAUAUCGGGUUUUCAAUCCCUUUUCUUUUUGAUUUUUUGAUUUUGAUCCAAAAAAUUAUGUUUUUUUAUUUUUAGUCCCUGAUAUGAUUAAUAAGAGAGGUAGUCACUGGAUUUUAAUGGUAGAUAGAGAAAACCAUCAUUAACGUCAAUUUCGAUGUCAUUCUUAUUUAGUGUCAAUGAAUUCUAUUCAAUUGGGAAGUUUCACUUAGAUGUUUUUUGACAUUUCAAUUGCUCAGGAUAAAAGAUUUGUACUUAAGAGGGUUUCUGAAUUUGUGUUGAUUUUAGGCUUUUGGAUUGAUUUUAGGGUUAUUUAAGGUAACAAAUGGGUUUAACAAGGUCUAUAAAGUAGUUUUUAGGUGUUUGGGGCAAUAAUUUGGUUGAAAAACAAAUUUUUAGGAACAAAAUAUCCAUGACAUGAUUUUUCAACAACCUCAUGGUCGUCGUAAACCAGGUCAGUAAACAACACAUUAUCUGUGAUAUUUUUUUAGGGUAGCACACGACGCGUUGUUGGCGUCACACACACACACACACUAAGAGGCCAAUCGCGUGGGUCUGAAAUCAUAGAUUUUUCUUUUGUUUAGCUUGGAAAAAAAACAUCAAUCUUUAUUUUAUCAAUCCAACUUACAUGUCAAAUUUUUCUUUCGUUAAGAAAAAAUGUUAUUUGAUACAAAAAAAAAAAAAAAAAGUCUUGUGCACCUAGCUAUCUAUGAUUAAACAAAGAAUAAAUUAAGAGAAAAAAGUUAUUAAAUAUAGUGAGGUGCAUAACUAAGAUCACGGGUUUGAAAGGUUAACAUGAGUUCACCCAGUACUUGUUUUUCUUUUUUUUAUUGAUUUUUUUUUUAUUUUCAAUUCUUCCUUCAAUGUUAGGUUGAUUAGGAUUUAAAUAUCAUAAUUUUUUUUAAUUUUUUUUCAUAAGAUAAUCACAGUCUUAUGAUCCAGAUCAUGAGUUUGGUUGGUUAACCAAAUCUAACUCAUGUCGAUUCAAUUUAUUAUCAUCUUAAUUUGUUACCAUCUCAAUAUUUAAGAAAUAUAUCAUUCAAUAUGGAUCAUAUUUUGAAUUCAUGAUUAAAAAUAAAUACACAUCACUAUCUCAAAAUUUACAAAAAAAAAAUAUUAUCUGGAAAUUACUUUUUAUCAAAUCAUUUUUUUUUAUCAAUCUUUCAUGUUUCUUCUAAAUUAACCUAAUAAGUAGAUUUAAUCAUAUCAAGUCCGCCCCUUUGGGCUAGGCAUGAAUUAGAAUUGGAAGAUUUCAAUGAUUACUAGGAGUGUCAUGGCACAUGCAUGGGGUGCUUUUCGAUAAGCAUUUUAUUAUUUAUAUAUUUUUAAAUAUAUUUGUAUUAAAAAAUUUAGAAAUGAAAAAACAAUUUCAAUUAAAUUUUCAUGAAUAAUUUAUUACUAGUAUUAUUAUUUCUAGAUCAGAUAUAUAAUAAUAGAAUUUUUUUUAUUAAAAUUCAAAUAAAAAAUUAUAAUAGUAUUACUUCUUUUUUUUUGUUGCAAUUUAUCCUUUCUCUUUCGAUGUUUCGGUGUCUGCCAUAGCCAAAUCAGGCAAUGUAUCUUCCUUGCGCAAAUGAUUCCCUAGUGAAGUCAAGAUUCUUUUGGUAUUAUUUAUUGAUGUAACACUUGCUCAACUCACGAAAAGAGCAAGUGUAAUAGACUUCUGCUUGGUUUUUGACAAUGGUGGAGGUGACAUUCUUCUCUAGUCUUAUCUCGAAACUCCAUUAAUUCUAAUGAUAGAUCUCCAUGCUCAUAGCUCCACAUCAUUUUAAUUUAUUAACAUUUACUAUUGAAUAGAGAAGGAAUACAUCAACCUUGAGCCUAGCUACAUAGGUUCGUGUAGUGUGCAUUAAUUAUUGAAAAAGUUGAAUUUCUGACAGAAAUUAGUUACGAAAUUAAUUCCAUCACUAAAUAUAUAUAUAAAAAAAAAUAUUAUUGAUAUGAUAUAAAAAUACAAAAAAAAAAUAAUCUUAAAUAAAAAAAAGGGUAAAAAUAUUGAUGCAUUAAGCAAUAUUUGCCUCGAAAAAGAUUUUCGAUUUUUUUCCUGAUGCCCACAGAAAGCUACGCUAAACUUUGAUUACCAAGGUCCACAUUGAUCAAUUCAUUACAAUGCUUUGUAAUUAUACUUAAAGAACUUAAAAUAAAAGCAAUUUUAAUGCUCAACAAAGAUAAGAUAUGGCCUCGCACAUUAUCACUUGAAUAUAUCAGCUACUUGCAUUGCUUGUGGAGAAAGAGGGGAGAGUAGGAUCGAUGUUCAUGCACUUUGGUACGUGUGAUAGAUAGAGAAAGGCAGCUGCUAUUCAUGCACUUAGGUAUGUGUGAUCUGCUUUGAUGACAUUGAAUGCACGUCACCUACUUCACCUAAUGUUCUUAAAUGAUCACUCCCUUAUUAUGAGCAGCUACACCUCUUCUUCCCUGCGUUGCGCAGCACACCAACUUGAGAGAGAGAGAGAGAGAGAGAGAGACGAUGGAGAAGAGGGACAAGGGAAGUUCUCCCAUGGCAACGACGAUGGGGUCAAGAGAUGAGAAUGAAGAUGUGGAAAACACCACGCGAACAGCCGAGACUAUGCUGCGUUUGGUGCCAAUGGCUCUGUGUGUCUCUGCACUUGUGGUCAUGCUCAAGAACACUCAAACUAAUGACUAUGGCUCGCUUUCUUAUUCAGAUCUUGGAGCUUUCAGGUCUAUAGUUUAUGCAUAUUAAUCUCCAUACUCUUUACAGUUUAGUUCUGUACUGUUUGACCUGGAAACUUUUCUUUUUUAAAAAAAAAAUGGAGAUCGAUCUGUAGAUAUAUAUAUUCUGGGCUUUAAUUCUUUUAAUUUUGAGUUAACCAUAAUGCUAAGUUUAAAAAUAUUUUUUCUGAUAACCAUAUUUUGAAUAAUCCCGUGCAUUAAACUAUUAAUUAGAUCAUACAAAGGGAACUCAUAAGUCCAAUAGUUGAGGUUUUUUCAGAAGAAUUUCUGUCAUAAGCCAAUCACAGAGUCUUGGUCCUAAGAAAUUAAAAAGCUUCCUUCACUUAAGACAGGAAACAAUGUUUUACUCAAUUAACAAAGGGGAUUAAUUUAUGAUGCAGGUAUUUGGUGCACGUCAAUGGCAUUUGUGCUGGUUAUUCCCUUCUUUCAGCGGUCAUUGUAGCCAUGCCUCGAGCGUCCACCAUGCCUCGAGCAUGGACCUUUUUCUUGCUUGACCAGGUAACUAAUAAUUUCAUCAAAAUCAAUCAACCUUAAUUACAAAAAUUCAGUAAUUAAUCAAUUUAUUCUUAAUUAUGCACCUAGGUGUUAACCUAUGUGAUUCUGGCCGCCGGCACGGUAUCGACGGAGGUGCUGUACUUGGCAAGCAAGGGCGACACAGCCAUAACUUGGAGUGAGGCUUGUGUGUCGUUUGGUGGAUUUUGUCACAAGGCCUUGAUAUCUGUAGUCAUUACAUUUGUUGUAGUGAUUUGCUAUGCAGCUCUUUCACUCUUAUCGUCCUACAAGCUUUUCAGCAAAUAUGACUCCCCGGUCCUGACCUAUCCGUGCAAGGGUAUUGAGAUUGCCACCUUCCAUGGCUGACUGCGGCGGCGGCGGCCGCCACUAUUAAUAUCUUCUCUCCAUGUUCAUAAGCAGCUAGCAUGUACUGACCACAACGACAACCCAAAUCAGAAUGUGGUUGAUAUUGGUCUAUAUAUAGGAGAUGUUGAUUUGUUUUCUACUACAAGCACUUCACUGCCUUUGUGUGGUUCUUUACAUGUGAUAUGCUUUCCUGUAUCUCUCAAGAAACUAUGUUUUAUUGAAUACCAAGAUGUAUCAAGAUUUAUUGGUAGUUUUCAAAAACUAAAUUUUUUAAAUUUAAUGCAUUCAAAAAUCAUUUUUAAAGAACUAAGAAUUCAGGCCUAGGCCCAAUUAUAAGUGGGCUUAGCCUGGGUGCUAAGCUCAAUGCCCACAGUGCUGCUGGCAUUGCUAGGCAUUGAGCCAAUUGCAUAAUGCUUAUUACAUGUGAAUACUUCAUAAAUCAUUCAAGUAAAUGGAUAACAAUCUUUCUAUUUUGUAAUAUUUUGCACAUGAAUUUUCAAAAAAAAAAAUUAAAAAUAUCAUUACAUUUUUUUUUACAGAAAUAUUUACUUAAAUAUCUAAAAGUUCUAAUAUCUAUCAAAGAUGAUAUUUUACAAAUAAUUAAUUUUCUACCUCAAGUGACCAAUCACUUUGGUUUUUCACACCAAAAAACUAAUCACAUUGACUUUUCAUAUUAAGCCCAACUACUACUCAUCUUAGCUAAAGAGAAUAAAUCGUAAUAACUAAAUGAUUAACUUAUUAUCUUACCGUAUAAGUCUUAUUACUAAUUAUUUUAUAUUUUGGAUCAUAGUCACCGUGCACUUGCAAAUAAGAAUUAUUUUUGCAUCUUUAAUUACAUUACAUUUGUAUCUUAUUUUAUAAGAAAAAAUUCUUUGAAGAAAUAAUAUGUAUAUAAAAGAAACUAAAAUAGAAGUGUGAUUUAGAAUAGUAUAAAGACAUUGUCUACCCACUUACAACUCAUCGAGCAAGAUCUGUACAGGUUAGUGGCCCAAAGAUACCAUAGGUUACAAAUAUCCAGCCCAACUGAAUUAGAAGCACAUAAUAAUCUCAGCCUAGAUUUUAUCGGAUGUGAAAAUGGGAUCAUUGGCACCAUUAAACCAGAGCUUUGGGUACAUUCAAACUGUUCAGAAUAGCUUCUGCAGAACAAAGUUGCUCCAGGAAGAUUUCACUACUCCAAAGUUGUUUGUGCUUUGUAACAAUUGGAAUUUCUGUGAUGUUUUCAUGUUGUUAACUUUGUAUGCUUUGUCCCUUUGAUGAUGAAAUUUCUCAUUUGUCAAAAAAAAAAAAAAAGAAGAAGUUUUGGGUCCAUCUCUCCUCCUAUAUAUAUUUUAAAUUAAUGUGGGAGUUUAUGCGUAUCUCAACUAAUUUUAUGGAUUCUAAAAUUAAUGAUUAUAUAAGUUUUUGAUAACCCUAAAAUUUAUAAGACUCGAACUAAUAAUAUCUAAAGAGCAAAUUCAAAAUCUAACUAGUAUUUAAAAUCUAUAUAUGUAUAUAUAACACUUGCCUACACAACUAGUUUUAUAGUUUUAAACAUGAUUUGUCUUAUAAUUAUGUGGGAAUUCUAAGUGGGUGAAGUAAGUGGAUCUAAAAUGAAUUUUAUUUAAUUUUUUUUUGAAAAUAUCAAAAUAAUAGUGUUAGGAAAAAAACUAAAAUGGUAGUUUUGAAAAGAAACAAACAAAUAUGAUUUUAUCUGGAUUUUAAGCAGCCAACUGUCAUCUAAUUUUAUAUAAAACUUGUUUUAGAUUAGAUUUUGUUAUGCUAAAUUUCUUAUUAGUGAACUAUAAAAUUAAUUUGUGAAGCCAAACUAGAUUUACACACGCUGAUUCGUUGCUUUCCUUCUCUCAUAUAUCCUUCUAGUCUUCCCAACUCAAUUUAUUUUUCAAUAAAAAAAUCUCUCUAUGUUGAUUUACUAAAAUCAAGACUCUUCAAGUUUUUCUUAAAACAAACUCAAGUGGGAUGCUCAAAUUAUAGAAACAAUAGUUCUCUUUCCUCAAAUUUUUAAGAAAAAACACAUCAAUGCAUUUAGUUGAAAUUUUAAAUUAUAUGUUGAAAAAUAUUUUUUAAAAAUAGUUUUUAUAGAAAAUAAAUUAUUUUCUGAUAUUUAAUAAUAUUAUAAAAAAAUUAAAAAAUAUUUUCAAGUAUUUGACUAUACCAUAAAAAAUAAAUUGAAAAAUAAUUUAUUAAAAUUCAAUUAUUUUCAAGUUUAUUAAAAGAAUAUGAAUCAAAUUCGAUAGAUAAAAAAGUUGAAAGAGAAUGAAAUUAUAUAAAAAAAAAAUCUAAUUUUAUAAAUUAUUUCAAAUUAAAAAAAUAAUAAUAAUAAAUAAUAUGAUUAAAUUUGAUAGAUAAAAAAAUUUAAUUUUAAAAAAUAAUAAAUAAUAAUUGAAACAAUAAGGAUUAAAGUUGGUAUAAAAUCAAAUUAAAUCAAACUUUAAUACAUAUAAUUAAAAAAAAAAUUAAAAAAUAUAUAACAAUAAAAAAAUCGACAAUGAAAUAUGAUAUAAUUAAGAAAUAACAAUGUAUUUUUUAUUUUUUUCAUAAUUUUUGAAAGUAUUUUUCAUUCAAAAUGUUUCUUUGAGUAUAAAUUGUUUUUAUUAACUAAAUUUUUUAAUAUUAAAUAAAUACAUAAAAAUUUUAAAAAUAAUUUUAAAAUUUUAUUUUCCAUCAUUUAUAUGGGACUUAAAUUCUCAGGGCAUAAAAAAACUCUAUCACAUAAAUAAAUAUUAUAAGUUCAAGGAUGGAAAAAACAAGGUUCUAUGUCAAAUCAACCACGAUUUUAACCUGUUUAUUUAUUAAAAUCUUCAGUUUUUUUUCUCUUCCAAAAACAUGAAAAAAAACUGAUUUUAAAUUUAUUUUUUAUUACUUUGGAAAAGAAAAUAAAUAAGAAACAAUGAUCUAAAAAAAAAAUUUAAAUCAAAGUUUUUAAAAAAAAUAAAAAAACAAGAAUAAAAAAACCAUGAAAACCUUCAAAGCCUUAUCGGAAAGGAAAUUUUGACAGGCAGAGAAACAGCCACACAAGUGCCAAUUUUGUAGCUUAGUCCAUCACCACCAAGAACAUAAUAUCCUCCAUUGUUCUCCUUCACUUUCUAACUUAUUUGUUCUCUCGCUUUCUCUUUUUCCAAACACAAAACUAAACCCAUUUCACUCCUUCAAAUUCCCUACCUUCCCUUCCCAUUUUCUCAUUAAGGUAAGCACUAAUUAUUCACUUUCUUGUUAAUUAAAGAUUUCAAUUUUGUAAGAAAUCUUGAAACUUUUUGUCCACUUAUACAAUUUACUCAAAUAUCAUAAGGGGUGUUUUUAGGUUUCUUGUUGGUUUUUGUGAAUGGGGUCUAUGGUGGUUUUAGUAGGUAGCGUGCCAUCUUUGGCUUCCCUUAUCAGUUUAGGGAGCUUGAGUGUGUCUACAGCUAGCUCUAGCUGUGUCGAAUCUUCUUCAUUUCAGUUUUAAAGAGAGUUUCUUUAUCAAAAAGGAGUCUUAGGAGGGCUAAAAGAUGGGAUUGUGUGUGUAAAUAUUCAGUUACUACCACUGAUUUCAUUGCUGAGCAAGGCAAUGCUGUGUCACUUGAUUCUAGUAAUAGUACAAUUAGAGGAGGAAGUGAUGGUGAUAGUGAGGUUGUACUUAAGCCUGCUCCAAAGCCUGUGUUAAAAUCUCCAGCUGGUUCUAAGGAUGAAACCUCUUUGAGUAUGAAUUCUGUUGGGUGGGGUUCUUCAAGUGCUGGUGGGGAUUCUGAUGGUGAAAGGUCGGAUGAGGAGGAAGGAGAGAGGAAUAAGGUGAUCGAGUCACUUGAUCAGGUUUUAGAGAAAGCUGAAAAGCUUGAAACUUCAAAACUGAGCCAAGUGGGUGGUAGUGCUAGUAGUAAUAGGAAACAGAAUGGGGUUGUAAAUAAAAUGACUUCACCUAAUGUGGGUAAUGAUUCGAGAAAUGUUAAUUCAUCGGCUGCUAAUAUGAAAACUAAAACUUUAAAAAGUGUGUGGCGGAAAGGAGACUCUGUGGCUGCAUUGCCGAAGGUUGUCAAGGAAGUUCCAAAGGCUAGUAAUAGGGUUAUCAAAGGGGAACCUAAAACAGUAGAUGGAGCAAAGCUAGAAUCUCAAUCAACUGUACCAUUGAAACCUCCUCAGCCACCUCUAAGACCUCAACCAAAGUUACAGGGCAAGCCAUCUGUAGCUCCUCCACCUAUGAUAAAGAAACCUGUUAUAUUGAAGGAUGUGGGGGCUGCUCCAAAGUCUCCAGUUAAAGAUGAAACUGGCUCAAGAGCUCCGCGAAGUAAAGGACAGCCAAUUUUGGUUGACAAAUUUGCACGCAAGAAGCCGGUUGUUGACCCUGUGAUUGCACAGGCUGUAUUAGCCCCUAUAAAACCAGGAAAGGGCCCUGCUACUGGGAAGUACAGAGACCGAAAGAAAAGUGCUUCAGCUGGAACACCGAGAAGGCGGAUGGUGGAUGAUGAUGUUGAGAUUCCUGAUGAGGAGCUCAAUGUUUCUAUUCCCGGUGCAGCUACCGGGAGAAAAGGGAGGAAAUGGACUAAAGCCAGUAGGAAGGCAGCUAAACUCCAGGCUGCCAGAGAUGCAGCUCCUGUCAAAGUAGAGAUUUUAGAGGUUGGGGAAAAAGGUAUGUCAAUUGAAGAGCUAGCCUACAAUUUGACAAUCAGUGAAGGUGAAAUUCUUGGGUUUCUGUACUCAAAGGGGAUUAAGCCUGAUGGGGUGCAAACUUUGGACAAAGACAUGGUAAAGAUGAUAUGUAAGGAGCAUGAGGUGGAGGUCAUAGAUGCUGAUCCAGUAAAAUUUGAAGAAAUGGCAAAAAAGAAUGAAAUUCUUGAUGAAGACGACCUGGACAAACUACAAGAGAGGCCUCCUGUCCUUACUAUAAUGGGUCAUGUAGACCAUGGCAAGGCAAGCAUCAACAUUCUCUGUCUCUUCAUCUUAAAAAUCAGAUGUGUCUGCAUUAUCUUCUCUGUCUCAUUCUUGGUUUUGAUUUGAGUCUUAAAAGAAUGGUGGUAUUUUUAAAGACUUUUCUAAUGUAUCUGGUGUUAUCCUCAUGACAGACAACCCUGUUGGAUCAUAUUCGUAAAAGCAAGGUAUGUUAAGCUUCUUCAUUGAAGGUCUUAUGGAUUUAAGUUAUGACACAUGUUUUCCGUGCUAUUUCCCACUUCCAUUGCAAUAAAGGUUUUUUUUUUUUUUUUUGCGGUGUACUUGUGAUAGGAGGAAGAUGUAGGAUGUCUAACCUGUAAACUUCAAAUUGAUUUGGGAUUGAUUGGUUUCUGAAGCUAUAUGUCCACUGUUCUAACAUGGCAUGCACAUAAUUUAACUGUAGCCUGACAGAUGGAAAUUUACAGGUGGCUGCCUCAGAAGCUGGUGGGAUUACACAAGGAAUUGGAGCAUAUAAAGUUACGAUACCUGUGGAUGGCAAGUUGCAAUCAUGUGUUUUCCUUGAUACUCCUGGGCACGAGGUAAGCAUGUUAUCCAAUUACUGUUAGCUACAAUUGUUUAUUGCCAAAUAGGUAAAUACUUUGCUGAUCAUGUCUGAUGUCCACUAAUCUUUGUUUAAUCAGCUAAUGUUCUUCUAGAUGAUUUUAUAAACUUAACUGUGAACUGAACACGCUUGCCUUUUAUUUAGAUAAUUUCUAUUUUAUCUGCUGCUGCAGGCAUUUGGAGCAAUGAGAGCCCGUGGAGCGAGGGUGACUGAUAUUGCUAUUAUUGUGGUGGCUGCUGAUGAUGGGAUUCGUCCUCAGACUAAGGAGGCCAUAGCUCAUGCCAAAGCAGCUGGAGUGCCCAUUGUAAUCACAAUAAAUAAGGUAUGUCUGAAAAAAAGUGGGUUUUGUUGUUUCCAGAAAGAAACAAAGGAAGAAACACUUGCCCAGCUGCAUUUGGAAAUACCUUUGGUUUGCGUGGUGUUGGCCUUAGGACUUUCUGACUCUGUUUUUUCUUCGAUUCAACCAGAUAGAUAAAGAUGGAGCCAAUCCAGAAAGAGUCAUGCAAGAGCUCUCUUCUAUUGGUCUCAUGCCAGAGGACUGGGGUGGUGAUGUCCCAAUGGUUCAGGUAUUUUUAAUUUAUUGCAACUUUCUUUUUUGCUUUAUCCUUCUGCAUAUGCUUAUAUUUUUGUGACUCCUUUAACAGAUCAGUGCUCUCAAGGGGGAAAAUAUAGAUGAUUUGUUGGAAACUGUUAUGCUUGUGGCAGAGGUCAGUUAAAUUUAUUGGCACUCCUAGUAGUUCUUCCAAAAAAAUUUUCUUGUGCAAUGAAAUAAUCAUAGUCCACUGGCCAUUUGGGUGGGCAAAAUUGGAUCCAUGAACUUCUUUUCCAGAUGAUUGUAGCUCUCUCUCUCUCUCUGCUAGGAAUAUUAUUAAGUGAUAUCUUGCAUUAUAUAUUUAAUUAGUUGAAUAGCUUGCAGUAGCUAUUUAAUCAGGGCAGAGAGAGAAAAUGUGGGAUCCUCUGUCUGCUUGGCUUGUCAAACAAAUAUAUCAUCAAUCUAAUUAAUUGCUAGGAAUGUAGCAGUAGUAGUUGCAGUAAAUGAAACAAGAAGAAUAACUUUUGUUCCCCAAUAAAUGUGAUAUCUUGUAACUGUCCCUUGAAAUUUCUCAUGCUGGAUCCUUUAGAAAAUUGAAUAUGAUGUGUGUGUGAUUUAACAAGCACACAGGGGACAGUCAAAGGUGCAUGCAUGCAUAUUAAUAUGUACUCUCUCCCAAAGCUAUAUUAGAUAUCAGCCACAAAAUCUACAAUUCUUAAAUUCAAAGCCAUCAUGAUUCCCUGGAAUGAAUGGGAUGUAGCAUACAAUUUAACAGCAUGCUAUUUAUGAUUUCUGACUUCAUGCAUGAUUGUUUCAGUUACAAGAAUUGAAGGCUAAUCCAGAUAGAAAUGCAAAGGGCACUGUUAUUGAGGCAGGUCUUGAUAAAUCUAAAGGGCCAGUAGCAACUUUUAUUGUACAGAAUGGCACCCUGAAAAGAGGGGAUGUAGUGGUUUGUGGACAAGCCUUUGGAAAGGUUUGUUAGUUAAAGUUUGAAUUUCAAAAGAAAAACUCAGAACGUUCUUUAAGAAAAUACCUGCAGCCUAAUGUGCUUUAAAUGUUAAUUUUGAAAUGCUCACCCACCUUGGAGGAUUUCUUUGUUGUGCCAUUUUCAGGUGCGGGCUUUAUUUGAUGAUGGUGGAAAACGAGUUGAUGAAGCUGGACCAUCUAUACCUGUACAGGUUUGUUGUUAUUCUUUUUCCCUGUUUAUCUUUGUUUGCGUACAUGAUGUAUUAUAUGUCACUUAUUUUUGUGUGCACCUUUUUCAUAAAAAAAGAAUGUAGCUGUGAUUCUUUUUUCUUGUUUCUUUCAUUAUUGUUGGAAUAUUCAAGAUCUAAAACCAUUAUAAUACUCCUUCGCCAUGCAUAAACUAAACUAGUAAUUAGGAUAAGCAUGAAAAUUUAAUUGACUAUAAAUACAGAAACCCCCUGUAUAUUGGUAUUAUUGAAACAAUUAGAAUUCUGGGGAUCCAGCUCAAUUCCCAUUUGGAAAAGUACAUUUUAGAAGGUUGUACAUAGUUUGCUCAGGUGAUUACAACAAUAAACUAAUCCCCAUUUUUUUCUUUUUAUAUUAUGUUUUAUGGUUCAUGGAUCCCUAUCUAUUUGUGUGAUUCUUUCUCACAUGACAAAUUCAUACAAGUCUUCAUUUGAAAAUAGUCUUGCAAAUAUGUUACACUUUUCUUUACAGGUUAUUGGUUUGAGUAAUGUACCAAUUGCUGGUGAUGAAUUUGAGGUUGUUGCCUCCCUUGAUAUUGCUCGUGAAAAGGCAGAGAAACGUGCAGAAUCAUUAUGGAAUGAACGCAUAUCGGCCAAGGCUGGAGAUGGGAAGGUGACCCUUUCUUCCUUAGCUUCAGCUGUCUCAGCAGGAAAGCUAUCCGGAGUAGACUUGCACCAGCUGAAUAUAAUAAUGAAAGUCGAUCUUCAGGUAUGUGCAUUUGCUUUGCAUUUUAUCAUAUCAUAUAAAAGCAAUUCUCAUGAUGUUUUCUUUUUCACUAUUGCGUCUUCUGUUGAAAUCAAGUUGUGUUGGCAAAUUUGUGAUAUUGACUUUUAUAUUUUACUAGCUUUCACUCAUGUGAUGCAUUUCAAAUCUAGGUAUUAAUUCUCUAGAUCCAUUUCAUGAAUAGAUCAUUGAAUAGGUGGUUAUAUAGAUGCACAAAAACAAAUUUGAAUCUAUCAAAUAAUAAAGAAUGUGAAAGAUGCUCCAAGAAGCCAUUUGGUUUGACUGUAUGACUUUGUUUUAUAACUAAAAAGGUGCUUUCCACAUUUUACUUUGGUAAAAUUCUUUUUAAGUAGAACAAAUGUAUGGCUCUGGUUCUAUUAAAAAAAUAUGCUUCAACUCUGUCUUCAUGUCCCUCUGAUUGAAUAUGUUUUGAGUGAAAGUUAGUAAGUAAAGGUGUUCUGACUUCUGUUAUCAAUUUUUAUGAGUUACUUAUAGAUAAACUUUCUAUUUUUAAUUCCAGAAUUAAAAGGUAAAAAUAAGUUUAUAGCUGUACCAAAUGCCCUCGAAAUCUAUGAUGAUUACUUGUAAUUGGGCUUUGAAGUUAUGUAUUGAUCACCAAUCACCAAUCACCAACUUCUACGGAAAAUUGAUAUGUAUGAGAAAAUUGGGUAUUUAAAAAUGUGUAGUGAAAAUCAUUUUACCCAUGGUAGGAAAUGCUGCUGGAUCUUGCUAUUGGCAAAAUCAAAAUUUCUCAAUAAUAGCAAUGCAUUUUUUUGCUUGAUUGCUUCACGGGGAUGGCUAAACACAGCUGCGCAUGCAUGUACAUUCAUGCCUUCAUCAAAAUAUUGUUCUGUUGCUCUGAGGUUUUUUGACAAAAUUCAUGGCAUGUGAUCAUAGUAUGGUUUAAACUUCAUACUUUAAGUGCAAGUAAAAUUAAAUUCUCUUUAUUAUAAAUAGGGAUCUAUUGAAGCUAUCAGGCAAGCUUUACAAGUGCUCCCUCGAGAUAACGUCACUUUGAAGUUCCUCUUGCAAGCUACAGGAGAUGUAAGCAACAGCGAUGUUGAUCUUGCUGUUGCUAGUGAAGCUCUAAUUUUAGGAUUCAAUGUCAAAGCUCCAGGUUCUGUCAAAAGCUACGCGGAAAAAAAAGGUGUUGAGAUUCGGCUAUAUAGAGUUAUCUACGAACUCAUUGAUGAUGUGCGAAAUGCAAUGGAAGGACUUCUGGAGUCUGUGGAGGUUAAUUCUAAUGCAUCACUUGUUUCUUUCUAUCAAACUUCGCUUGCUGAUACUAUUUAUACUCCAUGUAUAUCCUGUAUUACAUUGUGCAUGAUUGGGAAUAUAAGCAUGGCAAAAAAAUUCCAUCUAUGGCUUUCUUUUUUUCUGAGGGUGGGGGUGGCAGGUGUUGAAUAAAAGGCAGAUUGGGUUCAGUGUUUUGAAUGCUUUUUUUUGUUGAGCUACAUGUCCUUACCUUGCUGGGAAUUGUUAAUUUUCUGUCUCUUUGCAUUACAUUUUUAAUAUGUUGGUUGUUCUCUGAUGUUUGAUAUGAAUGCAUAUAUAUAUUUCAAAUUGUGGAAACAAACUCUAAAAAGAACCUCCAAGAUGUUAUAUAGGAGUUAAACUGCUACCCUUUUCCUUUUAACUGCGGCAUGGUAUAUGCUUGUUCAUCAUAUCAUAGUACAGGCAUGCUGUUGCUGCAUACUCAUACCAUUACUGUUGAGCAUUUGACAUGAAUGUCUCUUCUGAGGAAAAAGUUUCCAUGAAGCAUAUAAUAUUUAUCCAAGGCAGGAAACCCUCUCAGCCAUUCUACUAUGCUGAUGUGUCCAUGUUUAAUUUAUCCUGUUCUGGGGCAUGAGGUUGGUGGAUCGAAUCAAUUGUUUAGUUCAUUGGUUCCAGGUUAGGACAAUGCUUGUGUUUAUUCUCCAUUCCUCUUUUUUUAAGGACUGCCUUCAAAAACACUUAUCACUGGAAUACAUGUUUAUUUGAGUCAGGAAUAUGUUUUACUUGUGAGAAUAUGCUGCUUUUGCUUUAAUGUUGUGAAAUAUCUGCUGCAGCAUAUUUACUGUUUUGCUACUUGUGUAUUGAUAGGAGCAAGAGAUAAUUGGCUCAGCAGAAGUCCGGGCAGUAUUUAGCAGCGGCAGUGGUCGUGUUGCCGGAUGCAUGGUAACAGAAGGCAAAGUAGUAAAAGGCUGUGGAAUUAGGGUUGUCCGAAAUAGAAAAACAGUCCAUGUUGGUGUCCUUGAUUCACUGAAACGUGUUAAGGAAAUAGUGAAGGAGGUAAGAUUUUUAUGCCAGUAACUUUGCUUUGUUAUAGGGUGUCAAAUUUAUGGUCUACUUUCAGUAUUACAGUAUCAACAAACUUGUAAAUUUAGUUGAUCCUGGUGCUCUAUCACACCCUCCAGAGAUCUGCUUUUCUGUUGAGCAUUGUGCAGCAUGGUUACACCUCAUGAAGUGUAUUUAUGCAUUACUUGCUUACAGACUUGGUUUAUACAGAGCUUUUAGUGAGUUGUCCAUCAAAUAUCUAUAACUGCUUUGCUUUUCCUUUCCUUUGGAAUUCCUUAUGAUAUUUUAUAGAGGCAUGUUUAAUCCAUUGACUUGAUGUCCUUAAUAACUUAGCUAUUCUGUGAGGAUGAUGUUGAAGGUUGAAUGAUAUGCAUAAUGUGAUUUCGCAAUUCGGUCUCUUUUAGGGGAUAUUCUUGCAUUAUUCAUGAAUUAGCUCGAUUGCAAUGUGGGAGACUUCUUUAAACUUUUAUGCUUUGCUUUCUUGGGUCAAUUUGUGUAAUCUAAUUAUGAGAAAUGCAGCCUCUUCUCUACCUCCACAUUUAUGUUAUUUAUUGAAUUACUCUGCCUUUUAUUUUAUUGGUGAAUUUUCUUAUGCUGUUUAAGAUUGCAAAAUGGCUUCCCUAGUGGCUGUAACAUGCUGUCCUCUAACUUGAUGCCUAGUAUAUACCUGGUCUUACUCCGAUAUGCUUUUCUUUAUCAACUAUCAAUCCGUAACAUCUAUUAACUUGCAAUUCUCCGAUUCAUUAGGCUUGAAGAUCUUUUCAGACACCUCCAUGUUUUUCAUUUGCAUCUAUCUUAACUCGACAAAUUUUAUCUUUUCCUGACAGGUAAAUGCCGGACUAGAAUGUGGUAUUGGCGCGGAAGAUUAUGAUGAUUGGGAGGAAGGUGAUACUAUAGAGGCCUUCAACACGGUAGAGAAGAAGCGAACCCUUGAAGAGGCCUCAGCCUCCAUGGCAGCUGCACUGGAAGAGGCAGGAAUCAACUUAUAGCUUGGCGUGCAGCUCUUAGCUGAAUAUAUUCGGUUCUCCUAAUGGAGCCAAAGCAUUACAGGACAAUAAAGGUAGCACUAUCGAAGUAGUGCUCUAACAUUUGCUCAGUUCGUGGAAUACAGAUGAGCUGCCCAACACAUACAAUUGAUGUCAACCGCAGGGCGUGCAGGAUCGGAGCUUGAGGUGAUUUUGUCCACUGUUGUAUGCUAUUUUGUUGUAUAUAUGGUAACAGAUACCAGAUCUCAGUUACUUUCUGUAAAGGAGCAAUCAUACAAGUUCCUCAAGAUUCAUUGUGCCAAGACAAUGUAACAUUUCUGAAAGAAAUUAAAUUUUUUUUUGAAGGUGCUCAGAAUUAGGCAUGCACCACCUCCUACAUUGUCUCUUAAAAUUUAGCUACUCAAAGUUACAGCAAAGAGAAGUUUGGAAGACCAGACUUUGUAAUUAUAAUCACCAUUUUUUCAGAAAUUUUAAUUUUCAUGUUACCCUAGAAGUUAUUUUGUCUAUCGAGGGGGCACCAGACUCUUUAAAUUUGUAAUUACAUGUGCUGCUAAAAUUUUAGAAGAAAAAAAAAGUACUAAUAGUCAAUAAGUUAUUGAGUAUUUAACCUACAAUUUUUGUUAAUUUUUAGUUUAAGGGUCCAAAAACUAAAGAAAUUAAUGUUGGGUUAGGAAAGAUUGUAUGAAUAUUAUGCUAGUUUUUAUGAGAACGGUAAAUCUUGCUACAUCAUAUUUCAAAGACACUUCACAAUUAAUAGUGAAGCAGAUUGGAAAGCCAGUUUUUUUAGUGUUUUAAGGUUAUUUCCUGCUAUAUUGCAACUUGGAACAAAAAAAACUUUGGGAUGUGAGAAAAUAAUAUCUAGAUUAUAAUAGACUAUAAGAAAUAUAAGAAAUUUUUUGGUAUUGUAAUUAAACUGGUAUAACAUGUUAAACUUGAAAGUUCAUCCAACUUUUUGCUUGCUCAAGUUUUAAAUUAAAUUAUAUGAGAAUUAUCUUAAUAUGAGCUUGUCAACUUGAUAAAUCUAAAAAACAAUAUAUCUAGUUAACCCUAGUUAACUAGCGAAACUCGUGACCUAGUUAUGAACUAUAUUGAAUUGAAUUAUUAUUAUUAUAUAAUAAGAAAUAUAAAAAUUAAUUUACAAUCAACUCAAUGCUAAAAGAUGAUAAAUCAUUGAAUAAUAUAAUUGAAAAAAGACCAAAAAAUAAAAAGAUAACAACAAAUAAUUGAAAAAAAAAGUGCAAAGGGCCAAAGAAAAAAGAACUCUGACUAUGAGUCUUAUUGACCCUUAAUAACUGGAUCCUUUACAAAACAGUCCAAACACUUGGGCCCAAAACAGAACCAGACACUUGGACCAUUAAUUUUUUUUUGUUUUGUUAAGGGAUGGAACAUGUCAUCUAUCUCUUAUUUUGUUUUUUAUUUAAUAACAAACAACAUGUCACUAGACAUCAUUUACUGGGUUGUAAUCCUGAUUCAAGCCACCACUUUGGUGGCCAAAAAAAUAGGGAAAAAGGUUUUUUGGGUUGAAAAUUUUCAACCAAUUUUCAUCUAAAAAUACAAUAAAUAUCUCCUCAAAUCAUCUAAUAACUCCAAAAUCAACCAAAAAUGAAAAUUAACCAAAUAAAAAUUCUCUAAACCAAGCCCGAUCUCCUUUAUGUAGAAAUGUUUUAACAAAACAAUCACCACCUUCAAACUCUUCUCGUCAAAUAAAAUCUAUUAACGUCAAGAAUUAUGAGUUUGUUCGUGGAAAAGUGACAUAACCAACAACUUUCUCUCUUUUUUUUUAAAUUAUGGAUUUUUUGAUAAAAAUAAACUUUUAAGAAAGAAUAAAAAUUAUCAUGAAUUUAGUAUGAUUGUAAUUUCUCCGUAUUUUACAUUCAAGACCUCUUUCUUUUUAUGUUGUUUUGUUAAUUAAUUAAUUACUUAAUACAUUUGAUCCUUGUGUGGAUAAAAUUAAACCCUUAUAUUUUUAUAUAUGUCUGUAUCUAGUCCUAUUGGAUUUUCAUUACAAUUUUAUUGUUUUUUUCUUAAUCCAUCUCUAAUCAAUGUUCUCCAGCUCACCUACAGCAGAUAAAAUUAAAAACGCAUCGCAAAGUUAUUUUUUUGUAAUUUCAAGAUAAAUAACGGUUGUCAACCUGGAUGAAGGGAAUGAAAGUAGAAGGACUAACUUACAAAAUCGUUUGAAAUACAGUGACUAAAUUGUAAUUAAAUAUUUAAUUUAACCAUGCAUUAUACACACUUUAGAAGAUUUCAUGGCCCAAGCAAGCACGCAGUGAGCCCGGCUCCUAUGUUUCAAAAUUCAAAAAAAGGAAAGGAGCAACGGUCACCUUUCUUCAUAACUCUCUCUGAGCCAAGGCAAAUCAUCCAUCAAACAAUGAAUCCUAUGUUUUCUUACCUUUGAAUUGCCAAAUCAACGUUAAUAUUUACAACCUAAACAACUCUCCCUUUCCCUUUUCUCCUCUCUCUCUCUCUCUCUCUCUCUAGAACAAAAGGAUUGUAAAGCAGUUACCUUUUUUUCUCUGUCAUUCUAAUUCAAAGCACAUCAAUUGAUUGCACAUUCAAAACUGUGCCUUUUUCUUUUGAACCCUUUUAAAGAAUUCAAUUCAGUUUCCAUGGAAGAUAGUAAUAGUACUAAUGAACAACCUCCUCAUUGGCAUGACCCCCUUCUCCUGACUGAUGUACACCACCAACAACAACAACAACAUAAUACCAGCCCUCUCUCUAGCUCUUCAAGUAAGAUCACUUCACCUUCUCUAGUGCCCAAUUUUUCUUUCUUGGUUUUGUAGAUAUUUUUUGGGUUUUUAAACUUUUGUUUCUCUCUUUUUUCUUGUUUAGAGACUGGACUCAUUUCUUCGAAGUCUCAAACUUUGGCCAUGGUAGAUUCAGAUUCAAAUGAAGGUAAUGCGUGGUCCUUUUUUCCUAAUUUAAAGCAAACCCAUUAAUUUUGUUGAUUUAAAUUUUGCUGGGAGCACUCUGUUAUCUCUUAAAGGUAUGAUUAACUUUUUUUUUUUUUUUUUUUACUUUCUUGUUGUAGAUAUGUGUUGGCAAGAAAGCCAAAGCGUAGAAUCAAUUACUAUGAAAAAACUGAUAGACCGAGUUGAGAAUGAUGCGAUUGAUGGUAAAAAAAUAUCUUCUUUUUACAAUUUUGAUCAAGAAUUGGAUGUCAAGAUUGAACUUUUUAUUGGGGUUAUCAAGAUUUAAGAAUUUGAUUGAAUUUUGUGUUAUUUUUUCAGGUAGGUCCAUGUUAGGGUUUUCAUUAACAUCCCCUGAUCUGGUCAUCUGUGCUGGUUCACCUGAUAUAUCCAGAACUGGAUAUGGAGAUUCUCCUGAAUUAUUGGAUGACAACAAGUGUUCAAUUGAGCUUUCUCUGGAGAAUGGUAUUGAUGGGUCUGAUAUGAAAGACUCUAUUAAGACUCCAUGUGUAAAGUUUUCUUCUGUGUUUCAAACAUUCAACAAAGAGUUGUCUCCUGAAUCUUCGUUUGAGCUCCUUCCACAGCAAGAAAAAGAAGAGAAAUUGGUGAAAGAUUUUGUUCCUGGUGUGUGCAUUAAUGCAGGAUGCACUGAUAGGGCUGUGGUUUUUGGGGGUGUAGAGUUUUUAGGGGAUGAUUGUUUUCUGGGUGGUGAUACUGUAAGGACUGAUGCCACAAUUGGGGAUGGACAGGAUGGGGGUCUUUCUCUUUACCAAACGGCACGGUAUGGUAACUUCUCGUAUUGUUUUCGGGCGCUGGAGCCUGGGAAUUAUGAUGUGAGUCUGCACCUUGCAGAAAUUGUAUUCACUGAUGGCCCUCCUGGGCUAAGAGUAUUUGAUGUUUUUGUACAAGAGAAGAAGGUGAGAAUUCAUGAAACCAAAACAAAUAGGAGUUUAAAUGGAGGUUGCUAAUGCUAUCAUCUUAUUGUGUAUGAUUGAUUGUUUUUGUAGGUUAUGUCAUGCCUCGACAUAUAUGCACAAGUAGGCGCAAAUAAACCUCUGGUUGUAUCUGGCCUUAAAGCUUUCGUAGAGGGUGAUGAGGGCUUAUUGAUUAGAUUUGAAGGAGUGAUGGGAAAACCGAUUGUAUGUGGCAUUUCUGUUACAAAAGAUUUUUCUGCUAGUAAGUUCAGUUUUCUAUCUUCUUUUGGUUUCUGAACUUUCGUUUUUGGUUCAUGUUUCAAGAUAAAUAUUUAGUUAAGCUUUCUAAAAAUUCUUAUUUCAGAUACUGGAGAAGCUAGAUUACUAAAACCUAUAGGAAUGUCUCAAGUAGCGGAGUGCGAUUCACCCAAAGUAAGACCUCUUAAUCCUUUUAGAUUCUAAUUUAGUUUGUGAGAAACAUUAGAUUAUUGCCUCUAAAAUGAUGGUUAAACUGCAGGAAUUAGGUCACCUUGAGGUGGAAGGGGAUUAUCAGAAGCUACUGAGAGAUCACGAGUUUCAGAGAAGGGAAUUAACAGAGAUGAGGAGGGCAAUGGAUGAACUUAAGAGGGAAAACCGACUUAAGAGCAGGGAAUGCCAAGAUGCUCUGAAGUCAUUACAGGAGCUCCAAAAUGAGCUCAUGCGCAAGUCAAUGCAUGUUGGGUCCUUGGGUAUGGAAAUCUAAUUUUGUCUGUAGUAAUCACAUUGACUGUCCAUAAAUGUUGAUUGUGCUGAUGGUUGGUUGUAUGCAGCCUUUGCCAUUGAGGGACAAGUGAAAGAGAAGAGUAGGUGGUUCACAUCAUUGAGAGACUUGACAAGAAAACUGAAGGUACUUUUAUGAGUUUUUGACAUCUGUCUCCUGGAAUAUCUGGUACUACGUUGCAUUAUUUUAAAAAGGUUUCAUUUAACAGAUUAUGAAAAUGGAGCACAUCAAGCUAUCAGAGGAGGCACUGGCAUACAAGAAUUGCCUUGUAGAUAUGGACGAGAUAAGGUCUACUAUUCUGUCCAAAAGUAGGUCAAUGUACUGUUUAUAUGACCAACUCAGCUAUCUUUCUUCUGCAUUUUUUAUUCACUUAUUUUGUUCUGACAGUGAAGCAGCAAGUAGAUUUGCAUGAGGAUCUAAAGAUUAAAUUUGUUGAAGGAGCCAAGGAGAGAAAGGAACUGUACAAUAAGGUUCUAGAGUUGAAAGGUAAAUUUAUUUUUGCUUAGAUAUCUGGAGUUCUAUAUGUUAGGAAUUUAAAGAUGGUAUACUGAAUUCUGAAUCUUUCUUGCAGGAAACAUUAGGGUGUUUUGCCGGUGUCGGCCUCUAAGAUCCGAAGAAGUUGCAGCCGGAGCUUUAAUGACUAUUGAUUUUGAAUCUGCUAAAGAUGGUGAGCUAACUGUUAUGUCAAAUGGACUUCCAAAAAAGACCUUCAAGUUUGAUGCUGUUUUUGGCCCCCAAGCAAACCAAGGUAAUCACCUCGUGUGUGAAGUGCAUUUUGGAUCUUGUAGUAUCCACUCUGUUCCUUUCAAUAAUAAACCAUUGCUUUUGCUUGUUUUCUCAGCUGAUGUUUUUGAAGACACUGCUCCAUUUGCAAGCUCGGUCUUGGAUGGGUACAACGUCUGUAUUUUUGCAUAUGGACAGACGGGGACUGGAAAAACUUUUACAAUGGAGGGUACAGAAGAAGAUCGUGGAGUAAAUUUUAGGACUCUUGAGCAAGUUUUUCAUAUGAUUAAGGAGAGAGAGAAGCUGUUUCGAUAUGAUGUAUCUGUAAGCGUUCUUGAAGUUUAUAACGAGCAAAUACAAGAUUUGCUGGUGUCAGACUCUCAGCCAGGAGUGGCUGCGAAGAGGUAGUAUGAAUUCCUUGUAUUUUCUCUCCAUUUUCAUCUUAUGUUUUCUACGAUCUUUAUACUUAGUGAAUGGUUCUUUUCACGAUCACCAUUAUAUUCUGAUAAUGAAUCUUACACAGCUGAGAAUAUCAAAAUUGUAUAAAGGGUAAAAUCCACGAGUUCCUUGUUGCUAUUUAGUAUUUACUUGCAAAACCUGUUGUGGACUUGAUUCUUUGUUUUGUAAGAUAAACUUCUAUACACUUUUUUAUUUUUCAUUAUUAGCCUGAGAUUUCCUUUCAGUCGUUUUAAGAUCCCAAUAUGAGAUUAUUUAUGAUAUAUCUCAUAAGCAGUAAGAAAUAGAGCAGUAUUCCAGUUUUUAACCAAUCUACUAUUUGUCCUCUAUCCUCACUUUUAUGAUCUUUGAGUCAGUUUAACCGAAGCAUUGGAGUCUUGGCUUCUUCAACUUGUUACUAUAUAUGUUCAUUAUUAUUAUAUGAAAUGCAGGCUAGAAAUAAGACAAGCUGGUGAUGGACUACAUCAUGUUCCUGGGUUGGUUGAGGCAAAGGUACACAACAUGAGUGAGGUUUGGCAAGUUCUAAGAACUGGUAGUAAUGCUAGGGCAGUUGGCUCUACCAAUGCUAAUGAGCACAGCAGCCGAUCUCACUGGUCCGUGUCUCUAUGCUCCAUUUGAGUUUUUAUCUAUACUCAAUAAUUGCAUAAUGUGUUUGAAACGGGAGUAAAGGCUAACGAAUGCAUUGUUCUUGAUCCAGCAUACACUGUGUUAUGGUGAAGGGAGAGAAUUUAUUGAACGGGGAAUGCACAAAGAGCAAGUUAUGGUUGGUUGACCUAGCAGGAAGUGAGAGGAUAGCGAAGACAGAAGUGCAAGGAGAGCGGUUGAAGGAAACUCAAAAUAUUAAUAAAUCAUUAUCUGCACUUGGUGAUGUCAUAUCUGCUCUCGCAACUAAAAGCCCUCACAUCCCAUUCAGGUUAUAAAAAAUUUUAACCAGUCUUUGAUUUGUUAUUUUUCUACGUGCAAACUAACAACCAAUCUGACUCUACCUUCAGUGUAAAUGUUAAUAACAUGUUUGCUUGCUGUCCAGAAAUUCAAAGCUCACGCACCUUCUUCAAGAUUCCCUAGGUACUUUUCUACCUGAACCAUGCAGUAAAUAUAAAUUUGGGUUGAUUUACAUGAGUUAUGCAGGUAUAAAAUGAGUAAAACUAAUAUCUGGAUCCAUAUUUUUUAGGAGGAGAUUCAAAGACACUCAUGUUUCUACAGAUCAGCCCUAAUGAGAAUGACCUAGGUGAGACUCUAUGCUCGCUCAAUUUUGCAAGCAGAGUUAGAGGGAUAGAGUUGGGGCCUGCAAAGAGACAGUUGGACAAUGCUGAACUUCUGAGAUACAAGCAGAUGGUAUAGUGAUAACUUAUACUUUAAAUGCCCUGUUCUUUAUUUAGCCUUAAUCUAUGGUUAUCACCUUUCUAUUAAGUCUGCCUGACUGUUCCUACAUGUCCAUGGAAAUGGGCUCUCCUGUCUGUUAAGGCUGAGAAAUCGAAGCAAGAUUUGAAAAGCAAAGAUGUGCAAAUAAAGAAGUUGGAGGAUACAAUCAAUGGACUGGACUUGAAGACAAAAGAAAAGGACUUUAAAUAUAAGAUCUUGCAAGAUAAGGUAGUAUAUAGGUUGUCAGAAACCAUUGCAACUUCACUUAUAAAUCAGCUCGCCAAUUUUUUCAUUUUUCAUUAUGCUGGAAGAUGGAUCUUUAGUUUCCUUUUUCUUUCGUUGAUUUUGCAGGUAAAGGAGCUUGAGGCACAGCUCCUAGUUGAAAGGAAGCUGGCACGCCAGCAUGUGGACACAAAGAUUGCCGAGCAACAGCAGCAACAGCAAACGAAACAGCAGCAAGAUGAGCAAAUUAUUGCACCGCCUAGGCCGCCACUUGCAAAUCGGAUAUUAGGGAGUAACAAGAAUUUUGAUGAACCUGUGAAUGGUGCGUUGAACAAAGAACAGAUAAAUCUGACUCUGCCACCAAUGGGGAACACCAGUUACAAAUCCACAAUCCCCCUUCCCUCCACAGAGGGGGUUGUCAAGUUGACUGACUCUACUGAAAAAGAAAACAACCCUGCUAUGGCUGAUCAACCACGAUUGCUGAAGAGGACUGGCAGAGCCUCAAUUUGUACAACAGCAAGACGCGUCCUAGCAGCCCCAGCUCCAAGGCGGAACUCAAUGAUUCCACUCCCAAGUGUACCGAGUAUACCAAGUUCAUUUCCAUUAUGUCAAGUGGAUAUGAAAGAAGAUUCUGAAGGGUCUGAAACAAACUGUUUUCCUGAGCAGACACAAUGCGACAGCCCUAAAGAAAUCAGAUAUGGCUCCAAGCGGAUAAGCACCAUGUUGAAACGAAGCCUUCAAAAGAAAGUUAACAUGAAGUCCCCGCUGCAGCAACAUAUGAGAAGAGGUGGUAUAAAUGUCGGGAUGGAGAAGGUUAGAGUCUCUAUUGGAAGUCGAGGCAGGACCGCACAUCGGGUAUUGCUAGGAAAUGGUAGAAGAACAGGAAUGAGGGAAACUCAGCAGAAGCAGAUGCUAGGAGAAAAGGAAAGGAGGUGGAAUAGUGGAACACUGGCAAGAACUCCAAUCUAAUUGAUACAUUUCUCACUGAUAUCUGACAUUACAUCUGCUUCCUUCCUUCUUGUAUAAUAGAAGGUUGAGAAAGGAUUAUGGUGUGUAUUUUUUUUAUUAUGCUAAUCAUCUGUUUGAAUCUUGUGAUUGUAUAAUCGUCACAUUUGCGAAGCCUUGGCAGAUGCGUUCACAUCUGUAUCAGAGCCUCGUGGAAACAUGAAAUGGCGUUUUCUUGUACUUUCUUGUGGGAGAAUCAACCGAUGCAAGGGGAAUGCUUGCAAUCUCUUCAUGCCAAACAGAAAUUAGAGAAGCACACUGCAGCAUGUUUAUGAACCAGAAGAAUUGGUAAUAAUCUACUCUCUAUCAAAACAACUUGAGCUAGGGAUAUGAUGUUCUACACCACCAUGAGAUUACCCGUUGAGAUAGGGAUAUGUGCAGUCAUCUCGACGAAAUCGUGUCUUAAGAUGCCUCUUUUAGUUAAACAGCAACAAGUAAAUGUUACACUGACAAUUAUUGUGAGGUACAGAUAAAUAGAAGAGGGAACUAAUUACAGAGAUGAUUAUACCACGAUUUUUUCUUUUUUUAGGGGGUGGAUUUUUUUAACCAGACAGUAAUUGGUACAGGAUACAAGACAACUUAACGAUGACGAAAAACAUGAAUCACAUGAAGUGAGAAACAAAAAUUGCAUCAAUACGUGUCGUAUACUUGUUUUCUUUGAUUAAAAAGGGGAAGCAUGAAUAUAACCAGCAACAACAGGCCCAAUCAGGCAAAUGUUGAGCACCACAAGUGUUCAAAACUAUGCCUACUCCAGACUAUUUUAUACCAACAUUUGCGUGGGACUUGUGUUCUCGGGAAGGCUGUGUUUCUGCAAAACCCCUGACCUAUUGCUCUUAAGCGAUACUUGUAUGUGUAACUGUAAAGCAGCCUUCAAAAUUUUUACAGCGGUGUCUAACAAUGACUUGCUAUGCUGAUGAUUUCCCUAACCUGCAAUCAUCGUUUAAGCAUAUGUUUUACCAGCUUCACUCAUUGGUACAAUGAAUCUUAAACAAUCUAGUAGGAUAAACAAUUAAUUACCAAAGCCGAGACAGAGACUCCCCUGCUCUCUGUCAUGUACUAGCAUACUUGGUUUCAGAACGAUCUGAUAUCUGUCUCUCCAUGGUCUUCUCAAUUGAAGGUCCCUGUUCACAAACGUAUUUGAUAGAUUCUGAGAGUCGACUGAGCAAAUUUACCAGAGCAAUCACUUCAUUUCGCUGUAGUUGGAGCUGCAAUGACAGCAGUUCAAGCAUAUAUUAGACAGAGCUAACAUUUGGAUUUACCAAUUCCAUUCAGUGACCAGUCCUUUUGGAGAUUUUAAUGAUAUGCAAAGCGUAUGAAAUCCAGAACAUUCAAAAACUCACAGAUUCACUUGGCUGAUUUUGACCAUCAACAGAAAAGAGGAUCUUCAAUGCAGUACCAAGGCCAAGAACCUGAAGUUUCCCCCAGAGUCUACACUUCUCACAGCCAACACAGUCCAUCAGUGCACUGCAAUAUGUUUAUAUGAUAAAUUAAUAAAGCAUACAAAAUAUUUUAAAAAAAAGUGGUAUGAUCAAUUAGCUAGUUGAGAAAAUUCAAAAAAUUUAGGAGAAGAAAUUGUCUUUCAGGAUCACAUUUUACUGUCCUUUAAAAUUGCUAGAAUCGAAUAUCAGGACCUAAAGAAAACGCAUGAAGAAAAUCAAUUUCUCUUUAUAAGAGGAGCCUUCCAUUCAAGACAAAACAUUAGUUGAGUCUUAAAAAGAGGACCUAAUAUUUCUGAAUUGCUUUUGAAUUUGCUGCUUCAGUUCAGGUCCACUUUGGCCUUGCCAUAACUUAGCUUCAUCAAAUGGAAGAGGAUAAGCAGCUUGGAGUUUGGGGUUGUGAAGCAACUGCCUCACUAAAGACUCUGUCUUUAGGUCCUCUGUAUGGUUACCGGUGUCAUACUCAGCCUGCUCCAGGUAAUCUGCUGCCUGCAACAAAUUUUGAAUAAAAUAGCACCAACAAACUCCAAUAUCAAUGUCUGAAAUUAUCUACCAGACACGUAUUACAGUACUCACUUUAGUCACGGCACGCAAAACAAAGAGGAAUGUGAAGUACAAGUUUCUGACACGAUCAGGAUAUCUGAGAACACGAUCAUACAUCAAUUCCGGGUUCUGACCCCACUGAAAAUGUACAUAAACAACAUCAGUGUCCAAUAAAAUUAAUUAUAGAUGGGUUGGUCUUCAUUGAGUUCAUUUCAUGUUUGUUAAAAAUUCCCCUGCAUUACUCAUCUAGUUAUUCUAAAUUACAUGGACAGAGUAAAACUUCAGGAAAUGAUGCACUUUAGGUAGCUCUAGAUGACUGUAUAAUGUACAAGGUUCUAUCAGAAAGGACCUUCAAGAACAAAAAAAGACAUAGCAUAAAAGAGAGAUGCAGUGUGGCAAAUGCCUAAAAUUUUGUAAGUUAUUAUGUUGAGAACAUUCAAAACAGGAAUUAUGGCAGUGUUGAUAGGACAAGGCAGAAAUCAAACCUUAUUGGUGCUCUCAUCAAGAAGAUAGUCAGCAGCUAUAUGGGUUGAAAUGGAAGAGUGGAGGCCAGAUAUUAAUUUGUAUAAUACCAUUUUCUCCUGGCACAUCUCUCCCGAUGGAGCUACAAGAAGUUAAAUGGAUUAUAGUAAUGAAAAGAAAUCAAAAUUCAGAAUUAGAAGCUUUGGAGAAACAUGGACAUUCAUAGAGAUUCACCACGUAUCACAGGAAAAACAUGGUGACUUUCAAAUUCGAGAGAAACAGCAGAAAAUAAAAUAUCUAAGAAAAAGUGAUGAAUAUAAUCCUGUUUUUUUUCCUUUCACCUCAAGCAAAAGUUUCAUGAAAGACAAGUUUGAGCUCUACAUGAAUGACUAGUUCAAUAAAAUAUCUUCAACCAAUAUUUUGAACUCAAAAGGGAACAGAAUUCAAUUUCAGCUAUGCAAGCAAAUGCAACAGAUUAACCAAUUAUCUCAGUCAGCAAAAUUCAAUUGCCUGCUCUACUAAUUUCAAAGACAUUUUAUUAUCUUGAUCAUCUUGCACCCCAUGGCAAUUCCAGUAGUCAAUGCAUCUGCAGAGAAAUUAAAAAAUCAGCUUACAUUUUGGGCAAUUCUCUGAGUAAACAGCAUCCCAUAUUCUUCUAGCUGAUGGACCAACAUAACCAGUGUAGCGUUCCGGAUUCAAUAAGAGAUUCACAUAUGUCAUCUCAUCUACAAGAUACUUCAAUAGUAAGUCUCUGCAAUGAUCUUUUAAGAAAUACCCCCCUCACUAAAGGGAAGAUAAUACUUGUAACAGCAAUUUGAGGUGAUACUAAAAUUCCAGGUUCUAUAAUUUCUAUUGGGAAACAUGAUAGUUCAAUAAUCAGUUGCAGUCUCACCAAGUUAUGACUAAAUGGAAGCUAACUGUAUCCAUGGUCUUAUUAAUCAAAAGUGAUGCCUAAGUUAUCAUGUACUUUCCAAUUUGUAAAUACUAUAUCUCCUUCCAUACAGUAGGAAGCUGGAUACUACAUGAUCUUCAAGAUUCAACACCAAGAAAAUUAUGCAGUCUGUAUUCACCAAAAAGUCAGCAGUUACCAUUAUCAGUCUCGUCAUCAUUUGUCCAUGGAUUAUCUGUCUCUAUCCAUCCUUUAAAAGCUCUACUGUCUAAUGUGCGAUCAACAGCAGCCUGUGGCUUUCCCUCUUGACACGCCACAUCAUCUGCUGGAAGACCAUGGAGGAAUGGCUUCUUAAGAGGUUCUGGGAACUCGUUUUCUGGGCAUUCACAAACACUGCAAUCACGCAAGCGGCACAUACCAUCAUCGGGCCAGAAAGGGCAGUCGCACCACAAUUUAACCUCCCAUAAGGAAAAUGCGUCUCAUGUCAAAAAGGAACGGAUAAAAGAAUCACAGUAGUCAACUAUUACAGUUGCUCAGAUUUACAGCACAAUGGGAAAUUGAACAAAAUGAUGUUUAUGUUUUGUUGAAUAUUUAUUCUGGACACAAAUACAAUAAUCACUCUUAACCCAUGUCUUCCCCGAUAUUGAAAUGGUUCCCAAGAAGUCGCAUUGAAACAAAAUAAUUUAGAAACAGUCACUUCAGCACAUAACAGGAGCCAAUUCAAUGAACAAGUGCCACAUGAAGUCCAUUUUGUAAGCCUGUACAUGAACCUAUUGUUUCCACUACAGCAAAAUUUAGAGAAAAAAAGGUUCUCCCAAAACGAAUGUCACGCUAAAACCAGCAUCCAAACAGACUAAUUUUCCUAUUGCAUUGAUACUUGACCACCACAACUAAGAAUCAUUUGCUCAGGUCUGGUUGAAAUUGCAGCAAAGGCCAUAAUCUUCAUCAUUUCUUUACCAUGUGCAAAAAUAUUUCACCAAGAAACACUCACUAUCACAAUAAAACUAAAAGUACAUGACCCCAAAAUAACACAAAAACAGAAAACCCUUACCUUAAAAUACCGAAAAAACGGUGUUGUAACAAGCUCUUUAAGCAAAGGAUGCAACACCUCUCCAUUUACACUAUCUACACUCUCAUAAUCACAACAACAACCCUCAAUCACUCCCUUAUAUUUCCCUGAAUCCUGCGCACAAAACCAAAAAAAAUAACCAAAUGAUUGCCAAAUCACAAACAAUUAACAUCCAAAACUAGAAAGAAUGAAUUGUACCUGAGAAGAAGGGCAUUGACAUGACUUGUUAUUACUGUUAAUCAAAGAACCAAUCUUUGAAGCGGUCAUUGGAGAAACAGUAACAGCUACAGCAACUGCCAGAGGAACUGCCACUAAUGCCCCGAUCAACCCCCAUGAACUCCAUCUCUUUCUCUCCUUCUUGCUUUCUUGUUUGGGCUUAAAGCUCUCGUUUUUCUUCACCAUUUAAAAAUCUAAGACAGACCCAGGUCCUGUUUCGGUUAAACCCUACAAAACCAGAUUUUUGUUUUUCAGUAUUUAAAAUAAAAUGCGUUACUACCGACGAGAAUCAAAUUCGACAGCACACGAAACUUUUGCGCAAAGCGAGGGCGUGUGAUGCACGCCCCAAUUGACUAAGAGUAAGGGACACGUGGUGAGUUCCAAAUGCAGAGUGGGUGAAAGGGAGAGUGAAGAUAGCUUUUAAUGAGAUAUGGAAAGUUCAUUGAGAAGUCUGUUUUCUAAACCACUUUAAAAGCUUUUUAUGUUUAUUUAUUAUUAAAAAACUUAAUUCAUAAAAGAUAUUUUCUGGUUAAUAAAACAUUGACUUAGUUUUUUAAAAACAUAUUAUUUUAUUGUGUAUAAAAACUUUCUAUAAAUCAUGAAAAAUUUAUAAAUAUAUUAUUAUUUAUUGAUUAUAUAAAUUUUAAUUAUCAACCUUUAAUUUUUAUAUUUUUAUUUUUUAGAAUUUAAUUUAAUUUAAUUUAAUUUUUAUAUUUAGUUCUUAUUCUUUUAAUUAUUAUUUGUUUUUUUUUUAUCUUUUUUUUAAUUAAAAUUUUUAAUUUAUUAGAUUUGAUCUUAUUCUUUUUAUUACUAUUUAUUUUAUUUUAAAUUAUAUAUAUUUUAAUUUUAUUAUCUUUCAACUUUUUUAUCUACUAGAUUUUGUAUUUAUUAUUUUGAUUAUUAUUUAUUUUAUUAAAAUAAUUUAUAAAAUUGUUAUUCAAUUUCAUCCUCCUUCAAUCUUUUUUAUCUGUAAAAUUCAGUCUUUAUUUUUUUAAUAAACUUCAAAAAAAUAUAUAAAAUAUUAAUAAGUUAUUUUUCAACUCAUUUUCCAUGACAUAUAAUCAAAUACUAGAAAUUAUUUUUUAAUUUAUUUUUUAUAACACUAUCAAAUAUUAAAAAAUAAUUUACUUUUCUAGAAUUCAUUUUUUAUAAAAACCACUCAUUAAAAUAAAAUUAUUUUUGAGCAAACAAAUAUAACUUAAUAUUCACUUUGUUUUUCAUUUGGAGAAAAUGACUUCCAGUAACCAAUAAGAGCUCCAGUUUUGGUUGACUAAAAUUGUCGAGUGAAUGGAUGGGUUAGGCUUUUGUUUAGGGUGUUGGGCCUCGUAUCACUAGCCCAAACCCAAUUAAAAGGUCCUUCUUGUUCGGAAAACAGUAUGAGGUUUAAAUUUCUUAACACGUAUAUUAUAUUAUGUUUUCAAUUAUGUUUUAGUAUAUUUAAAAAGUGUGUUUUCUUUGCAAAAAACAUUAAAUUAAUGUUUUUUUAGUGUUUUUCAAUGAUUUUCACAUAUUGAUGUCGAAUAUAAAAAAUUUAUUUUAAUAUAUUUUCAAACAAAAAAGAAUUAUUAAAGAGCUUCAUCCAUUAUAAUACCGAACAUGCAUUCAGUGGCGGAGCUAGAAAAUUUUAAAUGAGGAGACAAAUUACUAACAAAUGCUUAAUAUUAUAUACUAUAUGGACAUGUGUUAUAUAUAGAGAAAUCAAUUUGAAAUGCAUGUACUAACUCAUGUCAAGCAAAAUUAAUUUAAGAAUAUUUUCAAACAAAAAAGAAUUAUUAAAGAGCUUCAUCCAUUAUAAUACCGAACAUGCAUUCAGUGGCGGAGCUAGAAAAUUUUAAAUGAGGAGACAAAUUACUAACAAAUGCUUAAUAUUAUAUACUAUAUGGACAUGUGUUAUAUAUAGAGAAAUCAAUUUGAAAUGCAUGUACUAACUCAUGUCAAGCAAAAUUAAUUUAAGAAUAUUUUUAAAAUAAAAAACUUACAUUAUAAUUUUUCUUUUCGAGUUUUUAUACUUUAAAAAUGCUUAAUAAUUACAUCAUUCUUAAUUUCAUUACAGAUAUUAUUUCUUAAUAUAUUCAAUUAAACUUUCAUUCAUCUAUUUCUAAAUCUUCUAGAAACUAGUAAAAUUAUUGGCAACAAUUCUUUGUUUACUUGUUGUUUUAUACAAAUGGGUUAAAUAUAAUUAUUAAUAUAUUUUUUAAAAAAAUUUAUAGCGUCCCUAAUUUUUUGAGUUGUUCAGUGUUUUAUUUUUAAUCACUAGUAAAUUGAUCACCGUCAUUUUUCAUAUGAAAUUCAUAACAAAAUACAUAUUAAUUCAUCAAAACUCAUUUCAAUUCAUAUUCAUAUGCAUAUAAUAUUAUCCAUACACAUAUUAAUUUACACAAAUCCAUAGAUUAUCAUAAACUCUAACAUUUUUAAUAACUAAUUAUUAAAAAAAAACUAAAAUUAGACAAUGAAAUAAAUAGAAAAAAUAAAGAAAAAUCACCUAAAACAUAAAGCAUAAAAGGUUACUUAUUUAACUAAUUAAUAGUUUAGGACUUAAAGAAAAUUUUAUAAAAAGAAAAAAGACAUGAACAAUAAUUCAAAAAAAAAACAAAGAGAGAAAAGAUUGGAUCAAUUAGUAGUUAAUAAAGAAAAUUAAACUUGUUAAGCUAUUAUAUUAAAAUUAUAAUAUAGAAAAUAUUUUGAAAAAAAAAAAAGCAAUUAAGGGGGCAAUUGCCCCCUUAAUCUCCAUUGUGGCUCGGCCACUGCAUGCAUUCUCGCGUAAUAAUCAUAGUGUUGAAUCUUGGUUAAUCCAUAAACCAACCUAGAAUACAAUUUUAUGGAUUGAUUGGGUUAACCCGAGUCAAUUAAAAAGACAUCAUUUUACUUUCUUUUUUUAAAAGUUAAAACAUAGUUAUUUUGAGAGAGAAAAAAAAACUAAAAAAAAUCCAUCCAAGUUUUAAUUGGUUCACCGAUCAAUCUAGGUUUUUAAUCAGAUCAACUUCCAAAUAAUUUUCUUGAAACCCAACCUAGGUCGAAUAACAUGUGGACCUGUUGUGCAGAGCCGAGUUUAAUAAUUGUGAUUAUAAUUAAGGUAUUUUUAAGUUAUAAAUCAUUAAAAAAAAUAAACUACCAGUAAGUAAUUUUUAAGUAGAAGAUGUUUGUACAAUUUCAAUUAGCAUUAUCAAUGAGUAAAAUGUGAGUGUGCAUGUUAACAUCAAAAUCACAGUAAACAAAUUUAUGCAAUACGCAGCCGUUCUCAUUGUAAUAGAAAGUAAAUUCCUCCAAAGUUAUUUUUGUGAAGGUAUAGUUAAAACAAUCUUUAAGUUAUAAAAAUGAUGAAAGAAAUUUUGGUAAUAUAUAUAUAUAUAUAACUGUUUUUGUUUAAUAUAAUAUAUGAGAUGUUGGAGUAAAUUAAUAUAUUUAUAACAAGAAGUAAAUGUCCAGAUUACACACGAAAGUAUUUGACUAUGGAUUAUCAAUUUGUUUGUCAUUAUCUUCAUUUAUCGAAAUUGAAAUAACAUGAAUUAACUUAUAAAUAACUAAAAGAAAUUUAACUAUAAAAAUACAGGAUAAAAAAUAGUGAGGAAAAAUUUAGUUUUCUAGUGGAAGACAAUAUGAAAAUUUUAUAACAAUAAAAAAAAUCAUCUAACUAUAAUGAAUAUAAUUUGGUUAUUGGAAAAGAAAAUACAGAAAUAACAAAACUUGUAUUAAAUAAUAAAAAAGGAAAAAGAAACUUCGAGGUCCUUCUUGUAUGGGAAAGCAAAUAGCAUUUUUUAUAGCCACUUAAAAAAAAAUGCAAGGAUCAACUUAAAAAAUGAAUAUUUGUCAGCAUUAUGGAAAGAUAUUUUUUUAAUAUUUAAUAACAAAGCAAAAAUCAUAUAAAAAUAUAAUUAUCCCACAAAAAUUAUAUUUAAUAACAAAGUACUGGAGAUUUGUUUUUCAACAUUGCAAGAUCCUUGUAUCAAGACAAACAAUAAAAAAAUUACACCAUCAAAUCCCAAAUAAAACUAACAAAAAGGAAUCAAAUUGAAAAGAUAAAAGUUUAGAGAUCAAAAUAAAAAAUAGAGACAUGAAUUUUCAUUUGACCGUUAAGCUCAAUCCCUAAAUUUGGUUAAAAAUAAGGGAUUGAACAUUUUUUUUAAUCUUCAAAUUGUGCCUUUAAAGCUCUAAUUAUUAUAAAUUAAAUAAAUAAAAUUUUGUUUUGUAAAAAACAUUUUCUUGAUAUCUCGAGAUUCUUAUACGCACGCAUGAAAAAUAUAUCAUCAUGAUCAAUUGCAAAUCAAAGUGAUGUAAAAAAAACCAAGUAAAAAGAAAAGGAAAUCGAGGGACCAAAGUAAAACAAUUCUAGAUGGAGAGAAAAAAACACGGUUGUGUUUUGUGUGCAGUGCUGCAAUGUAUAUCACAUGACUUUUAUUUAUUUAUUUUAAAUUGUAAUGUAAUCUGUCCUUGAAAUAGAACGAGAACGUCCGAUCCUUCCACCAAUUAAAAAGGGGCCGUCGAUUAGUGAUGAAGCGUGGAGGCUUUGUCUCUGCCGACACAAGGACUAGGAAGUUUAUUGCACUUUUAAGGAUAAAGAAAAACAGCGACUCUUUUUUAUUUUUUCCCCUUAAAUAAAUAAAUACAAAAACUCGUGUUGGUGAAAAACUUUGGCACUAAUUUGCAACAAAAUGUCAAAAUAUAUGAAAAUUUUGAUAUUGGGCCCUUUUAAUUUACCAAAAUUAAAUCUAUAUCAUCGUAAAGAAAUCCUUCACUAUAAUUACAUAGAAAAAAGCUUAAAUUUAGAAUUAAUCUAAUAUGGUUGAAUUAACUUGAAGCAUAAACUCAUAAUCUAAUCAAGUUAGUCAAAAAUUGAUUUGAUUUCUUUUUAAUAUCAUCUUUAUUUUUUUAAAUAUUGUACUCAUGACUUAAAUUCUUGAAUAAGCUAGAUUUAAGGUGUAAAUCAUGUUUCAUAUAAAACAUCAUCCCAAAAUUCAGAUCGUUUUAAUAUGUUAAUAUUAAAAUUAAUUUUAAAAAAAAUAUUUUAAUAUAUUUUUUAAAAAACAUAGUUUAAACCACCACCGCUAUUAGAAUUCCAAACACACCAUUGAGAACUUCCCUGUAAAGCAUGCACCAUUGAUGAACUUGUUCUAACCUCCAUGACAAGCUACCAAUCAGCAUCUUCUCCUGCUAAUAAUGAUGGCUCUACUUCAUCUCCUCUCUUUUAUAAAAUACAAGUUGAUUAAAGAACUCAGAAAAGCAUCUUCGGCUUGUGUUAAUCAUUGUAGUUAGAGCUGUUGAUUCCAUGUAUUCUCUCUCUCUCUCUCUCUUCUAACACUUGAUCUGCAGAUUUAUGGAAUCCUAGAUAAUGAUUAGCAGUUCUUAAGGAUGAUAAAACAAUAAGAAGGUUGAUUUUGAGAAGAUACUAUUAAAAAAGGGCUUAAAUAUCAUCUCAUGAUUUGAUUACACUCAACAAUUUAUUAAAUUAUUCAUUAUAAUCAGGAGAUUGGAUCGUUGGAUACAUUGCAUCAAAAAAUGUUGAGAGAAAGCUCUGAUUGCAUGUCUGCCUUGAAUUUGGUUUUUUUUAAUUAAUUUUUUUGGUGUUUUUAGAUCAUUCUAAUAUGUUGAUGUCAAAAAUAAUUUUUAAAAUAUAAAAAUAAAUAUUAUUUUGAUGUAUUUUUAAGAAAAACACUUUAAAAAAUAUUCGUAAUACAUUUCCAAACAUCCCUUUUAAAAUUGAACAUCAUGAGUCUUUAAUCCAAAGUCUAACACAUGAGGAAAAUGCAUCACAUGAGAGCAUCCCCCGGCUUGAAAAUGCAUGCAUUGAGACAAGUUCACGAUUUCGAUGGGGGGGAUGAAUCCCAUGGAUCGAAAAGAGAAAUUGCAAUGUAUAUAAUCGAUUUCAAAAAUUAAUCAGAAAAAAAAAAUCAUAUUCCCAUUAAUUUUGGGAAUUGAUUGUGAUCAUCAUUAUUCCUCCUGAAAAUAAAUUAUCCCGAGUGCAUGAUAAUCCCAAAUGGAGUCAAUCCAUGAAAGUCCUUCUUCCUUCUUCUCCCAACAAGUAAUAAAUAGAGGGACCGGAAUGGAAUAAUUAAGGAUACCAAUAUCACUUUGUGGGCCAUAUCAACAUAAUGGGCCCUAAUCAUGUUCAUGGGCCUCCACUCCUGGGGCACAAUAAAACCCCCCAUGUCAAAAAAAAGUACCCAUCAUUCUAUAAACACACAUUGUGCCAUGCUUAGUGAUUGAUUAUGAGAGGAUUAGAAGACAAAUUGAUGGUGUUCAAUAAAUACAGGCUGGUUUGCACAUGCAAUCGCCACCUGUCCCUGCCAUGCCUAGCUCUUGAAACCUUGACCAGAAGUUCAAGCAUGGAAGAAGCCUGUUUCUUGCUGUGGAAAUGCCCUAGGCAAAUUGGUCAUGUGGAAGAAUGUGAUGGCGUCAACUUGGGGCAAUCAUGGGGAACAACAUGUUUAGGUCAUAGAUUAAGUUGUGAAAUCAUUGCUAAGGUGCGAUAUCUUUCUCUGUUUAUAUGCUUUUGCAUUUAUAUUGCCUUGCAAAUGCAAUGCACAUGGUAGUCAUUUGAUCGACAUGUGUUGCUUAUCAUAUUUUAGGUAUAUUUUAAUGCAACAUUUUUCUUUCGUCACGUGUUUGUGUUUAAUUACUGUUUUAGUGUAGAAUAGACAAAAAAAAUAAAACAAAAACAUAUUUGAUUGAAAAAAAAUAUAAACACAAAAUAAAUAUAUUUCUGUGAUGACUUUAAAGUGAGAUUCUGUAUUUUCAAAACAUGAAAUGGAAGAAGAUAUGUUGUUACUAUCCUUGUUGUUUUUAUCUUUUUUAUCUCAAGACAGGAACUAAAUAUUACUAUAAAAAGUAAAAAUGCAUGGGAAUUUCUUUGAUCAUAUAAGCAUUGUUAUGGAAAGAAAAAAGGAGUUGCUUAAUUCUUUCAUGAAAUUGAAAAGAGAUUUAAGUACUAAUUUUCUUAAAUAUUCGUAUACUAGUUUUUAAAUGACGGGUCUCAAAUGACUAUUACUUGUCAAUCCAUGUAGUUUUAAUUGAAUUAUUAUUCCUUGCAAAUGUGAAUCAUCAACUCCAUUAAUCCAUUUGCAUUCAUGAUUAACAUGUGACAUUUUUUGUGAUAAUUACAUGGAUCAUGAAGACCACAGGGAGUAGACAACAUUCACAAAGAUGCCAUUUUUCUCUUCCAAAAAUAUUAAUUUUAAAUAAAAAAAAUUAAGGAAAAUAAAAACUGGACCACCCCAAGGAUAAUUUUGAUAUUUUUUACUUGAAAAUAUAUCAAAAUAAUAUAUUUUUAAUUUUUUUUAACAUCAGCAUAUCUAAAUAAUCUAAAAUCAUAAGAAAAUUUUUUAAAAAAAAAAUUAAAAAUUGUUUUUUGAUAUUAUAGUAGCGAUUGUUUUUUAUUUGAAAAUACAUUAAAAUAAUAUAUUUUAAAAAAAAAUUAAUUUUUAUUAUUAACACAUUAAAAUAAUCUAAAAAUAAAAAAUAAUAAUUUAAAAUAAAAAAUUAUUUAAAUAAAAAAAUCACGUUUCCAAUAUAAAAAUAAAUAAACCCUUGAUCACCUUGAUCUAAAUGAAAGGACAAGUUCAUAAUUGUUUGCCUACAUUAUUGUCAGGAGCUAGGAGGUUGAAAGCCAUUAUUGAUGAAUUAUGUUAGUACUUGAAAAUUAUAUUUUAUUAAAAAUUAAAGUUUUUUCUUUCAGAAUUCAACUACUAAAUCCUCAUGCCACUAGUUGAAUUUUUUAUGCAGGCAAGCGACAAUAGAGGACCGAUGCUGCCCACGUGGCAGACAGCAUCGUCCUUUCACUUCCACGUGGGUCCCAUCCCUUUUUAGAACCGAUCAAACUGGCCCAUCACACGGGGGCCACUACCUCCUUUUCUUCCCUCUUUUUCUUUUUUAUGUCUGAAAAUUCUAAAUUUAAUUAAAUUGGAAUAUAAUAAAUAAAAUUAAGAAGGUUCCAGAUAACGUUUAGCUGUGCUACUGGUUAGUCAAUGAGCUUUCAGGCUGUUUUUUGUUCCUCUAGGAAUAUAAUCGGAGCCGUGUUUGCAUUCGAUUUUUAAUAACAUUUUAUUUUUUUAAAAAAUUACUUUUUAUAUUAUUUUAAUUAUCAAAAAUAUUUUUAAUAAAAUAAAAAAAUAUUAAUUUAAUAUAUUUUUUAAUAAAAAAUACUUUAAAAAACAAUACUACUACAUUUUCAAACCAUAUAAGUUUUAUAGUUCAAUUGAAUGUAUUCCUAACGUAUUAUAAGCAAAUGUACUAGUUUUUCAUUAUUAUCAUUUUUUAUCUAAUUUAAAAAAAUUAAAAAAAAACUAUUUUUUUAAAUAUUAUGAACUGGGGUAUAUAGAUGGUUUCUCCAAGGUUUAAAGCUGGGGCAAGGAAACAUGUUUGUCAAUAUGUUUCAAAAAUAAUUUUAAAAAAAUUUAAUAUAUUUUUUUAUAUAUUUUUUAUGUUUUAAAUCAUUUUGAUCUCUUGAUAUCAAAAAUAUAUAUUUUUUAAAAAAAUAUUAGUAUAUUUUUUAAAAUGAAAAACAAUCACAACCACACUAUUAUAAAUAAUGAAUGUAUAUUUUAAUUGUUAAAUUUUGUAAAAUAAAAUUGACAUUGUAUCUUUUAAAUAAAUUAUAAUUUUAAUAUAUUUUUAAACCAAAAUUAUUUUUAAAAAUAAUUAUUAUGAAACUCUCGAACACCAUUUAAGAAUUUUGAUAUCACCUAGCGGUGGUCUUGCAUCCUCUUGAACGAUCUUUCUCAUAUAAUUCCUAAUUGCUCAAGUUUUGUCGAAUUAAUUUGAAGAAGAUGUUCACAACGAGGAAGAAAGAGACAACUUUCGAGGCCUGGCUGAUGGCUCUCCACGCAUUCCCUUAUCUAACGCUGAAGAGCAGAUCACGGGUGCUGAUAUGUGUGACCAUGGUGUCUGGACAAAGGACGACGUCGCCUCAGAAAGUGAACAUUUAUUGCAUGAUAAAAGAUCAGGAGUACUUGCUUCGUGGAGCCUUUUGAAACCACGUAAAUUUCAUAAAAUAAAAUAAAAUACGUAAUCCUCCCAACUUAAAAUAUUAAAAAAUUGUUUUACAUUGGAGUGAUAGUUAUUUUUUAUUUGAAAAUAUAUUAAAAUAUUAUUUUUAAUAUAAACAAAUCAAAACAAUUAGGAAUAUAUAUAAAAAAAUUAAAUAACAAAAUUUCAAAAUUUAUCCAACCCUCCUUUAAAAGCAAUACCAAAUAAACAAAAGAGAAAAAAAUCUUUUAUUAAUAGGCUUUUUGAGAUUAAAAUGUUAUAAUAAAAUAUAAUUGCUACGUGGAUGAAUGACUUUAUUUAACAAAAAAAAAAAAAAGAGUAAGAUUGAAGUCUAAUAAAUGACUUUGUAUUGUUUUUUUUAAAAAAUAAAUUUAAUAGUUUGAAUAAUAAUAUAUAUUAAAGGAUAAUAUAAAUUAUAUCCUACAACCUUACUUAACAGUUUAAGCUAUUGGAUUGAGAUAAUUUUUUAACAUGAUAUCAAAAUCUUGACGGUUAAAUGGUAUGAAGUUUAAAUUUUAUCAUUCGUAUUUAUUUGAUAAAAAUUAAAUAUAAAGUAAUUUGAGUCUGUGCAAGUUUCAAAUUCAAAAACUUUUACUUAAAAGAAUAUGUUAAAUAAUAAAUCAUAUUUUAUAAUCUCAUUUAACAACUUAAGUUAUUGAAUUAAAUGGUUCUAGUUAUUUGAUAAUAUAUAGAGUUUUAUUAGAUAUUGUGAAAUUUUGACAAAUCUAACUCUUUUUUAUUUUUAUUUUUUUUAAAAAAAAAUGGAAUGAAACAAAUUCAAAAUGUAUUGGCUAAGGAUAGCCACACGACCUAAUUUAAGAGUAGUCGAGUGCAAUAAUUGAAUCAUAAACAUGGAAGCUAGCUACAAGAGAAAUAAAUAUAAAUAUAAUAAAUGAAAGAGCUCGGAAAAAGAAAAUCACACAAUUUAUUAAUAUGUAGAGUACGUAAUGCACAGGCAUAAACAGGGAUGUCGAUCGCUGAUUUACGGACGCCUGUUUCCUAGCCUGGCUAGCUAGCAUCUGUGCAUGUAUUAGUCCUUUUCAGCCAUUUUUAUUUUUACAAUGCAAGAGGACUUUCUGUCAGAACCAACCCACUCGGCAGUGCCCCAUUUGGAAACUAGAAAAAAGAGUGCCCAAGAGAUAAAAAUCUUGGAAAAAUAGAGCUAAAAAGAUAACAUAAUUGGAAUAUAAUUACUCUCGAGAAUAAAAUUGUACACAACUGUACUUGGAAAUAGUGAAUGUUUUAAAAUUAAUGAUUCUCUCGUAUUAAUAUUACCAAGUACAGAAACCAACCUCACAUGAAGUUCAAAUGAUUCCAAACAAGAACUUAAUAUCGAAUAAUCAAGAAGAAAAAUAAAGACAAGGUAAUGUGAUAUUGCAUGGGAAAGAAAAAGGAAAGAAGGAUUCAUUGAGGACAUUAAUACUGCUAAAAAAAACUAUAAUUACAUCUCGAAAGAUUAUGAAAUGAUGCUAUAAUUAGUUAGAAAUUUUAUUUGGGGUUAAUUACAAACUUGUUUAAUAGUAUUUUAAAAUAUGGUUGGAAUUAUUUUAUCAAUUUUUUUAUAAUGAUACUUGAUGUAUCUAAAAAAGAGACUUGGUAUAUCCCCAAUGACUCAUUUCUUCUCCAUAUUUCUCAUAUGCAACACAACCUUAUCUCUUCUUUAUUUCUAAGCUAUUGAAUCUUAAUUUUAUUUUUUUACAAUUGAAUCUUCAUAAAAAUUUAAGUUGGUUUUUAUUUAGGUUAAUUAAAUUUAAAAAAAAAUACAUUUUAAAACAUAACUAAAGAACAUUUUUUUCUACUUGGAAUAGUGGUUGUAUAUAAAAAUAAUAUUCAUAAAAUAUAACUGUGUUUAAAUUAUGCUACUUUUUUCCGAUCUAUAUUAUUUUUAAAAUUUUAUCACCAAACUAUCAUAUUUUUAUUAACAUUACUAAAAUCCUGACUUGAAAAUCUAAGAAACUCUAAGGAAACACCAUGACCAUAGAUGGCAUCUCAUUUCUUUUUUUUAUUAAAAAUAAUUUAUUAGAUAUUAAUUUGUUUGAGUUUGAAUUAGUUUUUAUUGUUAUAAUUAAACCACUAAAAAUAACAUAUUUAAUUUUAUUAAACCAGUUAAUAUUUUUUAAUUUAAUUUAAAUUUGAUCAUUUUAAAUCAUAAAUUUUUUUAAGUCGUCAAUAAUAUAACACCUAUAAUAUCAAUUUUUAAUGUAAUUUAGUUUAACAUGCUUUUAUCCUACUCAAAAUCUCAUUCGGAUCGAAUUUCGGGUCAUGACUUCUUUAAAUCGUUACCACUUAAAAACUAUAUAACAUCAAUCUUUAAUGGUGGAUGACAAGCUUGCCCUAAUGUUUUCUUUAUUCCGAUUAAAAUCCCAUUCGGAUCAAGUUCCGAGUCAUGAAUUUCUUAGAUUUAUAAGAAUUAAAAAAGUUGGCUGGCAAGCUCAAGAAAACAAGUUGCUUUGAUGCUUUUUCUUCUUCUCUGGGUACAUUGCAUCUUGCUCAGCAAUAAUGAUUAAAGUUGACUGACAAAAUAGUACCAUGAGUUAUGAGUUAUGAGCAUGAAUGAUGUGAUGUAUACAGACCCCACGGCGUCGCAACCACCACGCCAUCUGCCAACAAUGGCGUCCAUGAUGGAAUUGGAAUAUAUGCUCAGUGUAUUAUUUCCACCAUAUUUCUCUUGAAUUUAAUUUUUGUUCUUAUUAAUUAGUCACUCACUCCCCGAGCAAUUCAAUCAAGUAGUAGCCAUGCAUAUUCAGUUUUUUUUUUAAAAAAAUUAAAGUGUGUGUUCGAACCAGCUUGCACGUAUUUCGAUUAAUUACAUGAACUCUGAAGUUAUCGAUUAUAUAAGUUUCUAAUUUAUAUUAGCAACCACAUGACUUAAAUUUAAGAUCACAUAAAAAACAAAUAUUUUUAUUCUAAACUCUUAACACUAAGCCACCUGCUAGAUUCUUGCAUAUUCAUUGUCUUUAAAAUUAGUCUUGGUAGAUACAAGUUAGUUUAGAUAUUUAUAUUAUUAAUAAUAAUUAGUCUGGGUAGAUACAAGUUAGUUUAGAUAUUUAUAUUAAUAAUAAUAAUAAAAAGCAAUAAUAAAUAAAAAAAGUAAUAAUAAAUAAAUUCUGAAUGGUAUAAUUUAACUGGUCAGAUUCUAAGUUUACUUUUUAAAAGUCACUAGUUCGAGUCUUGUAAGGAUCGCUAGAGACUUAUAUGUUUAUUACUUUCAGGAUCCGUAAAAUUAAUUGAGGUAUAUAUAAACUGAUUCAAAUACCGACACUAAUAAUAAUAAAAAAAAAACAGCAAUGGAUAAAACUUAAAUACGGUAGGAAAUUAGGUCGGCACCUGCAAUAACAGAAGGUAUAUUGAGUCCCGACUUGCAAUCAUGAAAUAUUUAAAGGGUGUUAUUCCGCCGCGGGGUCAAGUUUUUUUUCUAACAUGGAAAGUAUUUAUCCAGGUAACUAUAGUGCUUUUAAAAGAAUCUAAGAAAUUAAGAGCUCGGAUCAUUUAUUCAAGUAGAUUUAGUGAGCUUGUUUAAUGCGUGUUAAUCUUAAAACUUGUGUUGGGAGUUAAGGUAGGAGGUUUUAAAAUUAUCAAAUUUAAUAAUAAUAUCAAAUUAUUUUUUAAAAAAAAUUAUAUCUUUUAUUUUUUUUAUUGAAUUACUUUUUUUUUAAAUUUUAUCAUUUAAUUUUUAGUUGAUUUAAGACUGAUUUUAAUAAUUUAUUUUAAUUUAUUUUCUAUAAAAUUACUAUAAUCUCAAAUAAAUAUUUUAAUAUUUAUUUAAUGCUCAAUUUUAAAAGUACAUAUUUCUAGUAUCAUAUUAUUAAGUAAAAAAUAGUUAAAUUUUUUUUUACUAAAAAGUAAUAUGUUUGAUGAUUGAAAUUAUAAAACUUUGAUUGAUUUAAUAUUUCAUAUAUAAAUAUAAAAAAUAAAUAUUAUAUUGAAAAUUUUUAAAAUUUUAUGAUUCAAGUAAUACGUUUGAUGAUUGAAGUUAUAAAGCUCAUAUUAAUCUAAUAUCUUAUUUUUAAAUAUAUAAAAAAAUAUUAUAUUGAAUAUUUUAGAAACUAUAUCUUAGAAUUUUUGUUUUCUCAAUUCAAACUUGUUUGAUCCAAAUAUAGGUACAGUCCUAGAAGUCGGAAAAAUCCUAAUUCAUGGUGGAUGACGUGAGAGAGCGUGAGCUGAAAUAACAUCCUGACAUGAACGAUGAGAAAUCGGAGCAAACGAGGGAGACACAGCUUUAUUGCUGUAAUCAUGUAAUUGGUGGAAACUGAUCUAACCCAAGAACACGGCAAGCAUAGAGCCGACUGACCGUUGCUACGUUCUCUUGUAAUUUUUUUUACACAGAAUCCAACACCAAUGCGCGGCCUUGCUUCUCCUUUCCUCUGUCAGUUUCUGGAUUGGAACCACCACCCCCUCUGUUUUCAUGCAUCGUUUUUUAAACUUUUUAAUUUUGUUUUUUAAAUUGAUCUAAUGUACUAUAUAAAAAAUUAAAUUUUAAAAAAUAACAUUAUCAGCUAUUCUAAACACCUGAAUUGCUUUUAAAAAUUCUUGUGGUUUUGCUCCCGUUUCGUGUUAUGUUCUAAAGGAGGAGUUAAAAUUUAAAAUUUUUUAUUUAAAUAUUUUUAAAUUAUUUUGAUGUAUUAUAUCAAAAAAUAAUUUUAAAAUAUAAAAUAUAUAUUAUUUUAAUUUAUUUUUAAAUAAAAAUAUUUUAAAAAAUAACCACUUAAACUGAAAACACACACAAAGUUCAAAUUAUUUCGUGGUAUUAGAAGUACUAGAGAUUAUGUUUUGGAAGUUACUCAAUAAUUUAUUACAUAAUUGUUAUGGGAUUGGAUUAUUAAGCAUAGUUUUGAAACUCGAUCCGGCUUGACGGGUUGAUUCGGAGCUGGAACUAGGUCGGGUUAAAGAAAAAAUGAGGGGAAAAAAAACCCGAUAUGACCUGGACGUUGACCUGACAAGACCUGGUUGCAAAUUCAUUGACAUUUAUUUUAUUUUUUUGAUUUGUUAUAAAAAUAUUUGACCCGAUCGAUCCGGUCAAAACCCAAAACCUGGAUCUUAGACCGAACUAAGUUUUAAAACUAUAUUAUUAAGAGUUCGUUCAUAUAUUUUUUUUUAUGAAUGCAUUAUCAGUUUAGGUUUAAAAUAUUUAUUUAAGAUUUGAUAUUCUAUAUAAAUAUUCCUUUUUUUUUAAUUUAAUCCCAGCACAAAAUAAAAAUAAAAAUGUAGAAGUUCAUAUUCUAUAUAAAUAUCAUGAUCCCAUCAAGAAAGGGAUUAAUCCGGUGUCAAGAGAGGUUUCCAUAUCCUUAAUUUUUAAACUUAAACAUUAAAAUCUUCAUUUAAAAAAUAUUUUUUAAAAAUAUUAAAUUAAAAUUAAAAUAUUAUAUAAAUGUCAUAAUGUAAUAUUAUAUAUUAUAAUAUAUAAUAAUACAUUAAAAAUGCUUGCUCUCGUAAACUAAAUAUGUCAUUGUCAUUGUUUUAAAAAUAUUUUUUUAAAAUAAAACUUUUAUUUAUUUAAAUUAAUAUUUUUUUAAAAAAUAAAAAAUAUUAUUUUAAUAUAUUUACAAAUAAAAAAUAUUUUAAAAAUAAUAAUACAUUAAAAAUGCUUGCUCUCUUAAACUAAAUAUGUCAUUGUCAUUGUUUUAAAAAUAUUUUUUUAAAAUAAAACUUUUAUUUAUUUAAAUUAAUAUUUUUUUUAAAAACAAAAAAUAUUAUUUUAAUAUAUUUACAAAUAAAAAAUAUUUUAAAAAAUAACCAUAAUUACAAUACCAACCACGAUCAAACGCAUCACAAAGUCAUCGUUAUUUUGUCCUUAACCCAAAAUAAGUUUAGUGUCUAAUGAUAUUUUUAAGAGUUAAUUACAAUUUUAAAAAAGAAAUUUGCAAAAGGGUCAACCUAUCACCAGCUUCCAAUUUCCUUUCCAUCACCUAUCUGCACAGUUUGGUCAACCAACUACAAUAUUUAAUUAUGUGCAGCCAGCUCCCUCUGUCACUCCCUCUCUUCCUUAUAAGCCAGCCAACCAGCACUUGUAUCUCCAGCUCAUUUCUCUCUGAUUUUUCUCCACACGACAAAACCAUGGAUGUUGAAGAAACCCAGCUUCAUCACUGCCCAUCUGAUACCGAUCUUGAUUUCAGCUUCAACUCCACCGCCACUGACCGCACUUUCGCCUCCUCAAGUGCUCGCUCUAGCCUUGCUCGUUCUAGUCUAACUCUCAGCUUCAACGACCGCCUCUCCACAACCUCCACCACAACAACAACGACCACCAUCAAAAACUCUCUCCACCAUCGUAAAUGUGACCCACAUUGGUCUGCUAUAAAAACAGCCACCAACCUCUCUACGGAUGGCAAACUCCACCUCCGACACCUCAAGCUCCUCCGCCACCUCGGCACAGGAAAUCUUGGCCGUGUCUUUCUUUGCCAACUUAGAGACUGCAACAAUGCAAACUUUGCUCUGAAAGUUAUAGAUAAAGAUUCCUUAACCAAUAAAAAACUAUCUCAUGUUCAGAUGGAAGGUGAGAUUCUCUCCAUGCUAGACCACCCUUUCUUGCCUACACUCUAUGCCCAUCUUGAAGUCUCUCAUUACACCUGUCUUUUGAUUGAUUACUGUCCUAAUGGAGACCUCCACUCUUUGCUACGUAAACAGCCUGGUAAUCGGUUACCAGUUCAGGCUGUUAAGUUCUUUGCUGCUGAGGUCUUGGUGGCCUUGGAGUAUUUACAUGCCGUAGGUGUUGUUUACCGGGAUCUAAAGCCGGAGAACAUAUUACUACGUGAAGAUGGUCAUAUAAUGUUAUCUGACUUCGAUUUGUGUUUCAAGGCUGAUGUUGUCCCCACCUUUGACAGAAGGGUCCACAAAAAAAGAAUGGCAGGGUCCACGAGAAGAGGAGGUGGUUGUUUCGGCACGGUUAAUCGGAGGGGAGUAGAGGAGGAGGAAGUGGUGGAGGAAGAGUUUGUGGCGGAGCCCACAGCAGCUUCGUCGAGAUCCUGUGUUGGGACCCACGAGUACCUGGCUCCCGAGUUGUUGUCUGGAAACGGUCAUGGUAAUGGGGUGGAUUGGUGGGCUUUCGGGGUUUUGGUCUAUGAAUUACUGUAUGGAACGACACCGUUCAAGGGAGGGAGUAAAGAGAGCACCUUGCGCAAUAUAGCAUCGAGCAAGCACGUGACCUUCCGUGUGAUGGAAGGGGAGGGUAAAGGGAUGGAAGAGGCCAGGGACUUGGUUGAGAAGCUGUUAGUCAAGAACCCAAGGCAGAGACUAGGGUGCAUCAAGGGCGCCACAGACAUUAAAAGACACCCCUUUUUUGAUGGGAUCAAGUGGCCUUUGAUAAGGAACUAUAAGCCACCGGAGGUUCGUGGCCUCGUGGCAAGAAAGGGGAAGAGCCACCCAAGUGGUCACCUGCUAGGGAGCGUUUCUUCCCCUCCGAGGAAGUGCUGGUGGAGGUUGUGGAAGAAGGGUGGUAGCGGGCUUGCGAACUUGCUGAGAAGUAAAGGAUCCAGUCCAAGAUACUAUCCUCUGAGCAACAGCCAACAUUACAAUGGUAAUUAUCAUCAUUACAAGUUCAGGAAAAGUGCCUAGUCGGAGGAGGAUCCAUUCCGAGCUAGCUCCUUCAAGGUUUGGACCUUCGUAAGGGCAUCUCAAAUUAUACUUUUAGCUUUGAAAACGUUGUAUAAUUAGAUCAUAGAAGGGUGACGGGCAAUGUCAAUUUUGGAGUUGUCGCCAAUUUUGCUGCUGCUGUGCUGCUGCUAUUUUUCCUCGACACACUGUACAUGGGUCGGACUUCUAUAAAUGAAGAUUCAUACUCUUAGUUGUUAAGCUUUUGUACCUAUUGAAAUGUACAAACAUUUUAUGCAAUUUUGAGUCGGUGCUCACGAACUGUAAUUGUUCUUGUUGAAAUUUUACCUCACCGAAUCUUUCUUCCAAUUUUUCUCAUUAUUUACCCUUCUUUCCUGAAAAAAAAUUAAAAAAAUUCAUACUCUCCUCGAAGCAAUGGAAAUUUACAAUGGUUAAAAUUCAUUUUGGGUAUACAAGUUAAUUUGUUUUUCGGGAAACAAAUUGAACCCAUAUCUAGAACUACAUGGUCUCCACAAGCGUGUUGAGCAUAGUUAUAAAGCUGACUUGGAAAUCCACCGAGCUCAAUACCAAGGGUAAGGGUUGAGGUGAUUAAUUCAUAAAUUAAUGGAUUAAUCAAAGUUCUGAUUUAAAAAAGAAAUUAAACAAUUUUGCUUCGUUUUUUUUUUCUUUUAAAAAACCCAUGAAUGAUUUUUUUUAUAUAAAAAAAUAGGGUUUUUGUUUUUUACUUACCUAACUCGGUACAGGUCUUAUAAAUAGAGUAUUAAGAAGCUUCGGAAGCUUCAUGGAGAGAUACAAAUAAUUAGCAUUUAACGAGCUAUUGGCAGUUAUUUUCAAGGGCACUAUAAAAUCUUUUUGAAUAGUUGUUUUUAGUCAUUAAAUUUUUUAUAAGGAACACAAAGAAAAAUAUAUUUAUUAAUUGAAAAUAAAAAUGAUUUUCUUGAAAACACAUGUUUAUAAUUCUUUAAUUCUCUAAACAUAAAUAAAAUAUUUUAAAAAUACAUUUUUUUUUCAAAAUCUUCUUUUUAAAAAUAAGGGUUAUAUUCUAUUAACCUCAUUUUUUUGUGUUUAUUUCUUUUUAAUAUUUUCAAUGUAAACCAACAAAGAUUUUUUUUACCUCUAUAUUUUUUUUUAAAAAUAUAUUUAAUAAAUAUGUUUACAUAAAGAAAUCAUUUUAUUUAAACAAAAAAUAUUUUGAAAUGAAAAAUUUUAAAAUAUUUUUUAAAAGUCAACAAAAUUAAGUGCCACCUUUAAGUUUAUUUUUUCUUCAAAAACAUGUCCAUAUUGCCUCUCAUUUCUGAUGCAGGCGGAAGUUAAUGAUAACAAAUAAACAUAAAACAUAAAAAUUUAAUGAGCAAAAAAAAUUACAGAUUUUAACUCUGAAUUUAUAAUUUUAUUUUUUAAAAAAUAAUAUCAUUAAAGUUUGUCUCUUUAGAAUGUUUACAAAAUCUUAAUUAGAUUAAAAACCCUAUCUCAACUAUUCAAAAAAACAAAACAAAAAAACAAUAAUUAUAAAAUCCAAAACAAUACAUUGAAUAACAAAAAAACAAGAAAAAUAAUAAAAUUGGCCCAAACUAAGACUUUAAGAUGAGAUUUUUGAUAUCUUAAAAUUUAACUGUUGCAUAGUGUUGAAGGAGUUAUCAUAAAAAAAAUUAGUUUUUAGAAAUUCCUAUAAAGAUUUAAGUUCAUUUCAAUAAUUAAAUAAAAAGUUAAGGUUUUUUUAGGCUGUCAUUCUAGUCUAAAACAACAAAAUCUCUUUUUAAAUUUAAACAUGAUUUAUUGGUAUUAAAUAUAUCUACUAAAUUAUUUAUAUAAUCCAUCUGAGAUAAAUCCUCAUGCAAUUAUAAUAUAUUUAUAUCUAUUUACUCAUAUAUUUUUUAUUAUCUGAAACCCGACUGCAUCAUUUUCUCACAAAGAAAACGCAUAAGUUAUAUAUCUCAACCAUGAGAUUUAUAUUUAUGUAAAAACAAUUGUUCAAGGAAUCUUAAAUGUUCUACCUUUUAAUAUCAUCAUUAAAAACCUAAUGAGCUGAAGCAAGCAAGUGUGAUGAUGAGUCAUGAUUUCUCUAACAAUUCUUUUUACUAGAAUUGGUAUCAUCUUUCCAAGAAAAUCCACCCAAGUCAAAAUCCAUAAAAUCUUCCAAUGUACCCAGUAUCAAAACUUCCAUCAUGGAUAUAAAAACAAAAAUAAUAAUAUUCUCUAAGAAAAAAUUACAAUAAAAUUCCUCAAUUAAAAUCUAGGGUUCAGAAAUCUGAAGAAAACAAUAAUACUUGAGUAAAAAAAUUAGUUUCUAAACCUAAAACUUCAUAUAUAAACAAUUAUCUAAUUAUAAACAUAAAUAAUCAAGUAUAAAUCAUAAUGUCCUUAAUCUCAAAACUUCAUAAUUUUCACAUUCAAAUAAUUAUUUUUUAAAAAGUGUAUCAUGAUUCGUAACAAACCUUUUAAGAGAAAAUCUUGAAUGUAAUUUGAUGAAAAAAAACUCUAUUUCUCUUAACCCUUAAUUAUUUUCACAACAUACAUUUAUGAUAUAAAAAAGUAAUAGUUUUAUGAAUAAACUUUUUAGAUAUCACACAAUAGACAUAAUCUUAAGCACCUGAAAUUAAACAAGUAUAUGUAUAUAAAUAUUUGAUUUAUUAAAAUAUAUAAUUGGGUACAAUUUAUAUUUAAAAUAUUUUUUUAAAAAAUUAAAACGAUCAUCUGAUUCUUUACUUGGAUUUGAUAUGCGACAACUUGAUUUAUUUGUGAAAUCAAGUCAAGAUUUGUGAUUUGUAAGGACAUGAAUUUAGACAUGUAUUGCAGAAUGAGAUUUGAUGAUAUGAUGUUGUGAAGAGUACAUUUAUUUAUCUUUAAAAUGUUGUUGAAGAACUUUUAUAGAGCAUUUAAGCUUGAUCUAGCAAAAAUUCUUUCUUUAUAGACUUCAAAUAUAAAUGAACGAGGUUUGAAAGCUUUUGAGAGAGUUUAUUUGCUUGAAGUGCUUAUCUUAAAGAAAAUUUUGCAUCUUUAAAAAUCCUUCUUCCUUUUUAUCUAAGGUAAGAUCCUUUAUUUAUAGAGAUUUGUAAGGGCUUUCAGGUCCUCUUUUAAUGCCUUCUGACAUUAUUUUAUUGAUUGAAAUUUAUUUAUGGGAUCUUGUAUUUAUAAUAAGAUAUCUUAAACAUCUCAUCUCAUAUCAUCUCAUGUUUUAACUUUUCAUUGAUCAAUAAAUAUAUAAAAGUCCAUUUAUUUUUCAUAUUAUUUAUUUUAAUUGUAUUUUGUCUUUUCAUGUAAAAAUGAAAUAAAAAUGACGGCAUAACAAAUUUUAAACAGUUUUUUUUUGUUUCUAUAAACAUCUCUCAGAAACCGGAUUUAUUAAAUAGAAAAUUAUUUCUCAAAAUUUAUCACAAGGUGGCUGUUCACUAUUGAGAAUCUCCCGGCCCUGCUUGAUGCUUUAUCCCACAAACAUUGAUUACAGGUAAUCCUAACGAUUUGCAACAGGCCAGCUCCUAAGCAAUCCUGGACAAUUUCCUGUUAGUUUUGUUGAAACUUUUUUCUUUAUUUAAAAUGAUUGUUCUUGUUUUAUAUGGUCCGUGUUCUAGAACAAGAAAAUAGACAAAAACAUAUUAGGAUAAUGAUAAAGAUAUAGUCUAAAUUUGUUUUCGACAUAGUUGUUGUCAGAUACAUUAUAUAUCCUCUUUAUUUUUUAUAUUAUUGAACUCUUCAUUUCGAGAAAGUAAUCAUUUUAUAGUAUUCGAAUCUGCUGUCUCGAGAUAAUAAUCAAUUCGAAACAUUGCUCUUGUUUAGCUUAGUUGUUUCCUUAAUAACAGAAUAUUGGGAGCUUAUGAACUCUCUACUGUGCGUCGGCAGAAGUGACAGGCGGAAUCCCUGCCAACCCACUAAAACAAGAAGGGAGAGGCACACUCAGAUUACAGUCUUGAAGAAAAUCAUUACACGAGGACAAAUGCUCAAAAACUCCAUAUUGGCUGGUCUAGCAACAGUGGUGGAGAAGAAAAAAAUGUUAUUGAUUGAUGAUCAAAGAAAUUGCACGUCUCAUCUCAAUCAUUUUUCACUCUUUGAAACUUCCAGGCAACCACAGGUCCCAUCAUUUCAUUCUAAGUUUCUAAUCAAUCAAGAAGCAUAAUUGAUGGCAGAAAGUUAAGCAAAAUUGGAAUAGGUGGAAUGAUCAUAAUCGUAAACUGAGAAGAAGAGCAGCAAGUUGUAGUAGAAGCACCUAGGCUGUAAAGUGUAGGCGUUGACUCCGGAAAAACCGAAAGAACUUUUGCAUCGUGACUCUCAUGGCAUCUCUCCACUUUCUUGCCCAUAUCAGUUUUUCUCUUUUCUGGUGAUUAUCUACCUCUCACGUUCUAUCCGUAAGGUUGUGGGGAGGUCUCUGUCCUGGUCUCUCUUCUAUUCUUCUCUUGGCCUAUUGAUUGCUUCACUGGCUUAUUUAUGUUCUGUGUUCUGUCAUUGCCUUAGACAUUAGUUUUCAGAGCCAAAACCAAAUACCUGUUCUUAGAAGUGAUUUUCAAGUUUGGUUUGUCCAAGUCCUUUAUUCAAAGUUCUCUCUCUGUGCUUUCUUUUUCUUUUUUUCUGUCAGGAAUUGGGUGAGUGUAGAAUUGGAAUCAGGGACAUGCGCUUUAAACUACACAUCGCAGGCUCGAUUUUUUCUUUAUCGACUGCAUUCUAGUCAUUCUUGCCUCGGAAAGUUGCAAUGUUGGAGAGGACUUGAUUUUAACUCUGUUGUCUUGUGACUUCUUCCAUCACACUCUGAGUGCUCCACAACCGAGUGCUUCUUUUCCUAUUCGAGCUAUUCAAUUCUGCAUCUUCAUUUUUCUUGAAUAUGAUGCCAAGCCAGUUGAAUUCUCCCAUUCCUUACAACCUCUUUUGCUUGGUCUUUUUGAUGCUUUAUUUCCAUUUUGUAUUCGUAAUAUCAUUAAAUCAAGAGGGUGCUUUCCUUUUGGAGUUUUCGAAGUCAGUCAUUGAUCCUGAUAACAAUCUUCAAGGCUGGAAUUCUUUGGACUUGACUCCUUGCAACUGGAAGGGAGUAGGUUGUUCUACCAAUCUUAAGGUAACGUCUUUGAAUCUCCAUGGCCUUAAUUUGUCUGGUAGUCUGUCUAAAACUGCAAGUAUAUGUCAUAAUCUCCCUGGUUUAGUCGUUUUGAAUAUGUCCUCCAACUUCUUUUCUGGUCCCAUUCCAAAGUAUCUUGAUGAGUGUCAUAAUCUAGAGACUCUUGACCUUUGUACCAAUAGGUUUCGUGGGGAAUUUCCAACACAUCUGUGCACACUUAGCACUCUUAGACUGCUUUAUUUCUGUGAGAAUUAUAUAUUCGGAGAAAUCUCCAGGGAGAUAGGAAAUUUGACUUUACUUGAAGAGCUUGUCAUCUAUAGCAAUAAUCUCACAGGCACAAUUCCUGUAUCAAUCCGUGAGUUAAAGCAUCUUAAGGUCAUCAGGGCAGGUGUAAACUAUUUCACAGGUCCAAUACCACCCGAAAUAAGCGAAUGUGAGAGCUUGGAGUUACUCGGGUUGGCACAGAAUCGUUUCCAAGGUUCUCUUCCAAGGGAGCUUCAGAAACUUCAGAAUCUUACCAAUUUGAUCCUUUGGCAAAACUUUUUGUCAGGGGAGAUUCCUCCUGAGAUUGGAAACAUCAGCAACCUAGAGGUGAUUGCAUUGCAUGAAAAUUCCUUUAGCGGGUUUCUUCCAAAAGAACUUGGCAAAUUAUCCAAGCUAAAAAAACUGUACAUAUAUACCAACCUGUUGAAUGGAACAAUUCCUCGGGAACUAGGAAAUUGCAGUAGUGCUCUUGAGAUAGAUCUCUCCGAGAAUGGGUUAAGUGGAACUGUUCCAAGAGAGUUGGGGUCGAUUUCUUGUCUCCGCUUGCUUCACCUUUUUGAGAAUCUCCUUCAGGGAAGUAUUCCCAAAGAGCUUGGAGAGUUAACACAGCUGCGAAACUUUGACCUGUCCAUAAAUAUCUUGACAGGUUCAAUUCCUCUAGAGUUUCAAAACCUAACAUGUCUAGAGGAGUUGCAGCUUUUUGACAACCAUCUCGAGGGUCAUAUUCCUUUUCUCAUUGGGUAUAAUAGUAACCUCUCUAUCCUUGACUUAUCUGCCAACAAUCUAGUUGGUAGCAUACCUCCAUUCCUUUGCACGCAUCAGGAUUUAAUAUUUUUGAGCCUUGGAUCAAAUAGGUUGUUUGGAAACAUUCCUUUUGGUCUGAAAACAUGCAAGUCUCUUAAGCAGCUGAUGCUUGGGGGUAACUUGCUUACCGGAAGUCUCCCUGUUGAAUUAUAUCAGCUUCAGAAUCUUUCUUCUCUUGAAAUUCAUCAAAACCGAUUCUCCGGGUUUAUACCCCCUGGUAUAGGCAAGCUCGGGAAUUUGAAGAGGUUGCUCUUGUCAGAUAACUAUUUUUUUG